UAUUCUGCCGUUUCCUCUUUUAUUUUCCAAGAAAGAAAAGAACCACAAAACACUCUCUCCCCCCCUUUUUCUCUUUUCUUCUAGGGGUUUGAAACCCAUCAUCGCCACCAUCGUCAUGCCCCCUUGAAGCCACCGUGGUUUCCACUGUAGACGGUGAUCGGGACCACGUGAAAUCGGGUUUUUAACCCCUUUUGAAGCGAGCUCGAUGGCGAGGGUUUCCCAGACCGAAGAAGAUCCAAAAGAAGAGGAACCCCCACGACCUCUUUGGGCCGAAUCCGACAAUGGAGAAGUGGUCUUCGAUGACGGGGUUGCGUGGAUUCGGGUAAGUUCCUUCUUUUUCCUUGAUUCGUUUUUUGGUUUUAAAGUAAGUUAACAAAUAAAAAUGAAAAAUAAAAUAAAGUAAAGUGGAAAUAAACAAGAAGAUCCAGAUAUCAGAGAAUUCGAAGUUAACCUUCUAAAUUUUCUAUUCUGUUUUUUGAUUUCUGAUGUUUGUAAAAGUAUACAAAGGGAAGAUUUCAGCUUUUAUAACCGAGUUACAAACUGUUAGUUUCUAUUGUUUUGUCUUUUUGCUAUUGUUUUUUUCUAUCUUGCAUGUUGAACUCUCUGCUGUUGUAUUUAAUUUUUGCAGGUGUCAAUGGUGCAUGAUGGCUGGUGGUAGGCACGCGGUGGCGGCAGUCAGACAUGCGUGGAGGGAAGCAGCGGCUGCAGCUCUUUAGGAGGGUUAGGGUUUUUUUUUUGCUUUCUGAAAAUGAUAAGAGUGGGCUAGGGCUAUUAGGGUUUGUAAAUUGGGUUUUGGGUCUGAUAUGUAAUGGGUUUUAAAUUUUGGGCUAUUUAAUUAUUUAUUUGUUUGGGUUUUAUUUUUUGUUUUAUUGAUUCGGGCCAAAAUUGGCUAUUACAAGUAAAAUAUGUAAUAUGCUAUGUUUAAUCUAAAGAAAACAUUAUGUAUGUUCUGUAUCUAUCAUGAUAAGCAUGCACGUCGUAAAUAUAUCUAAUAUCUGUUAGUUUUGCAUUUGCAUUUGGGAUGAGAAUUGUGUACUGGAGGAAGUAUGAGGAGUUUAAUUUUCUACCGUAAUUGGUGGCACGACUACAUCUAUUUCUGUAUAUGGCGAUAAUUCACUUAUUGGUUUAGCAGUUAAGUUGCAAAUAUUCAUACUAAUACUAACUGGUGUGUAGGGAUGGGUAUUCCAUACCUCAUAUGGUGUUUGGGAUGGUCGGAGUUGAUGUGUAGCGAAAGGGGGCAGGAUUAUAUUUUUGCAUUUGUACUGCUCUGAUAUAUUCAACAUCUGCCAUAUUUGUUUGAAUAAUUUUUGUUGCUUGAACAAAAUGUUACACACUGAAUUUCAAAAACUCACAUUCUCAAUGUCUGUCACUUUUAGGUAACCUUCAGACUUAGGUGGAUCGAUGCGAUAGGAGCUCAGUUAUGAUUUUUUUGGAUUUUAUGUGUUUUGUAAAAUUUGGACUAUCUUUAGCCAUUUUGGGACUGUUUAAAUUUAUGAACUUUACUAUCUAAUUUUUAACUGUUUUAUUAUUUUUGGUGGGUUUACAACUUGUUUUGCGAAAUAUUGAUUUUUAAAUUACAAACCAUGUUUUCAAAACUGAACUCAAAUAAGACUUUCCACAGCAAACUGAAAUGUUUUUAAAAUAAAAUUUUCUAUAUAAACAACAUUUUUGAUAAUAGAUUAAGAGAGAUGGGCUUACAAACAAACCAGAUUUUAAGCAACAAAUGCUAAACGAUGAUUUUUUUAAAAACAAAUAAAUUUUGAAUUUUCAAUCGAUUUAUAGUAUCAUCUCUAAAUUUGGCCAUAGCGUCUAGGUCGAGUUUGGGGUGUUACAUUUGGUGGUAUCAGAGCAUGAUUGAAAAACUCGGGCCAUGAAAUUUUGGGUUCAAAAUUUUAGUUAAAACUAUUUUCUGAACAAAAUCGUUUUCUACUUUAAUCUGAGAAAAAAGUCUAUGGAAUACCGAGUCUCUGACACCGAUCAUGUAUGUUGAUAAACCGUAAUUUAUACAUAUUUUUACCUCAUGCCUAAUGCAUUUAUGGAUGGUUUCUCCUUAGAUUUGGUGAAUUCGAUGCUCUUAAUCCUUUAAUUUCAUGUUUUAUACUUAGGAGAAACGGGCUGAAAACAGAGAAAAUGGACCCACAUGGGAAAACAACACGGCAUGGACUUCCUCACACGGGCGUGUCACAUGGUUUUGUCAAUUUGGCAGGAUCGAAGUAUGACUUACACGGGUGGAUCACACGCCCGUGCCCAUUUAACAGCUUUGACCACAGCCUUCAGUAAUCGCACACGGGUGUGUCACACAGGUGUGUCCUUGCCGAACCCAAGUUUAGUCCAAUUUGAAAAAGGACUAUUUUGAGGACUUUUAGGCAUUCCAAAGCCUAUUUAAACACUUAAGGAGGCACUUAGGAAGGGGGAUAUAGAGUAGGAAGCAAGGAAUUCUCAAGGAAAGCCGAUUGAUCCAUCUCAAGAGCCAGAUUCAUCAUCAAGACUGGAGAUCUCCCUUCAAGUUCCUUCAGGAGUUUUGGGUUUUCUUACGUUUUGUUAUAUUUUUAUGUUUUUGAGAUGUUUUCUUUCAUAAGUAUGAACUAAACCCCUAAAUACCUAAGGGGAAUGAAACCUAAGAUAGAUCUUUUUAUUAUUAUCUGAAUUGUAUAAUAAAUAUUUGACUUGUUCUUAAUUAUGUGUUCUUAAUUCUUGUUUUGAUAUUGCAGGAUAUUGAUUCAAGUUAAGCUCUUAUUCAGAGGAGGAAUAGACCCUGUCUAAGAGUAAAUUUGUCAUAAUUAAGCGGAGUUGAUUGCGCGCCUAGAGAUAGGGUGACAAGAUUUUGCCGGAUUUGGGUGAAACCUAAUAAGGGAAUCCAUAGAUCGAGUUAAUGCAAUUCUAGGGUGUUAAUUAGAAAGAGAUUUCAAUUAUUCAACCUAGGGUUAGACGUAUUAGUCUCGAGAGAGAUAAUAAUAUAACUUAAGGAUUUCUACGGAUCAAGUCAAAUGAAUAAAUCGUCUGAUUCAGAGUCAAAUAACAAGUGAAGUCUAGGUGGAUUUGUCUUUAGGUAUUGUCUCAAUCAAUCGAGUUUUCCCAAAAGUAUUUUCCCAAGUUUUUCUUUCUGUGCAUUCUUAGUUAGUAAUUAGUUUAGACAACCAAACCUCUUAAAUUUUAGGCUAGAUAAUAAAAAGGAAGAAAAUACUAGUACUCGUAGUUCCUUUGGGUUUGACAAUCCGGUCUUGCUGAACUAUACUACUGUUCGAUAGGUACACUUGCCUUAAUCGUGAUAAUAAGUUAGUCUCAGGAAUGUUUCAUUUAUAAAUCUUUAAAACCUGUUACGAAUAUCACGCAUCAUAUGUAUUUUUACUUAGUUAAACUGCUUAGUCAGAAACAAAACUGUAGUAUUAAAAAUAAUAAUGCUCUAGUCUAAAACUAUAGCACUUUUGAAAAAUACUCUGAUAAGAAUUUUCUGACAUAAAACAUUUGAUAAGAAAAAUUUGAACAAAUACAUAAAAUUUUGUAAUGUAAAUAACAUAAUGAGUGCGCGUGAAGCUCGUGGACGUGGUACUUGUGGGCAUGGCGAGCUCUAAAGAGGGGCUCGGGUUGAGCUAUCCUCGAUGGGUAGUAUGCCCAAUUUGGAUACGAGUGAAACCCUAGGGACGCCUACUACUGAGACUGUGUCUCAAACUUGGACAGUUGGGGACGGCGCAUUGUCCCAAGCCAUGUUAACGGUUUAGGAGAGGGUCGCUAUGCCCUAUUCUAGAUCUAAUAGUUGAGGGUCUGUAAUUGAACAACUCUGGUCCAACAGUGUUGAACUGUUUAAGGGCAUCAUUGGAGUUGCCCCGACUGUGGCCAAGUAUUGGUUAGAGGCCACAGAGUGGAUCAUGAAUGAUAUUGACUUCACCUGCGAGUAGAAAUUGAAGGGUGCAGUUUUUUACUUUGCAAUGAGGCGUACCAAUGGUGGUUGAUGGUUGAGGAAGGAACUCAUCCUGAUCAGAUUUCUUGGGAAACUUUUAAGAAUGAUUUCUAGAGCAAAUAUGUGGGGGCAAGUUAUGUGGAGGCUCGUAGACGCGAGUUUAUGGGCCUUACUUAGUGAGAUAAGUCCGUGGCCAAAUAUGAGGUAAAAAUUUUGAGAUUAAGCAGAUAUGCUCAUAGGUUGGUGUCGAUUGACUAUGAUAAGUGUAUUCGAUUCGAGGAAGGGUUAAGGUAUGACCUCAAGGUUCUAAUAGCUCCACUGAGGGAGCGAUUUUUUGACAUCUUGGUGGACAAAGCAAAGAUUGCUGAGAAAGUUAAGUGCAUUAAGCGAGAUAAAAGGGACCGGAAGCAAGGUAAGAAUAAGAGGGAUUCAAAGCCUUCUAGUUCUGUUUAACGGUUUAAGAAACAAGCUAGAUCUGAUGGGUCUUUGAGGGUUGAGGCUCCUAUUGCUUCUAAUGUGGUUCAGUCAUAUGGAGAUUGUGGUAGAUGCCAUCUGGGCGAAUAUUGGAGGAGGUUCUGAGCUUGUCUGCGAUAUGGGUCAAUAGAGCACCUCAUCAGGGAUUGUCCAUAGCAUUUUGAUCAGGUGCAAGCUCUAGCUCUGGGUAUAGUUCAGCCUCAGCAAGCAGUUCAGCUAUAAUAACCCGUUUUUAGUGAAAUCAGAAUAAUGGUUUUAGGACCACAAAUUAUAGUCCUGAAGAAAAAAAAUAUUUUGAUAUUAUUUCAUGAUCUGCAUUAUAAUUGAAAUAUCAUAUGGAAAUUUCGUAGAGAAAUUUUAUAGAUUACAUGUCUAAUUAGAGGGAAGAGACCAAAUUACAUAAAAUGUAAAAGUUGAGUUCUAGUAGCUAAAAGUAUCAAAUAGCUAUGAAAUUCAAAAUUAGAUGUCCUAAUGGUAAAUAAACCAUUAAGAAGAGUUAGUAGAUAAGUAUGAUGAUUCAUCCAUGGAAAAUUAAAUAAAGAAAAGGACUAAAUUGUAAAGUAAAAAUAAUUAAAGAUGAUAAGUAAUAAAAGAAUGAAAAUAUCAUCAUAUUAUCAUCUUUCCCAAAUAUUUUUACAUGGAAACCCUAAAGAUAGCAAGCUUAUUUGGUUCAAUUAGGUGAGUAUUCAAGUCCCGUUUUUAAUGAUUUUUAUAUUUCCAAGAUCGUAAUAGUUUAAUCUAGCUAUCUUGAGGAUUAAUUUGCAAAGUUAUCAAGGUAUUAGGGUUUUUCCAUGGAUGAAUAUGCAUGAAUUAUGAAGUUUUAUGGUAGAAAAUGAAAGGUUGUUGAUAGAUAAACAACUUUUGUAAAGGAAAUUAUGAUGAAAUUAUGAUUUAGGGACUAAAUUGAAAAGAUGUAAAAUUUAUGAAAAAAUUCUGAUAUUUGUGAAAUAUAUGGACUGUUAAUGUUGCUUGUAAAAAUCAGUUAGGCUUGAAAUAAGGGUUAGAUUGUACGAAUUUCAUUUUCUGAGCCUAGGGAUGAAAUCGUAAUUAAAUAAAAGUAUGGGUGCAAAAUGGUAAUUUUGCCUAAGAUGUGAAUUGAACUAAAUUGAAUAUGAAUUAUAUUACAUUGAUGUUAAAUUUAUUCAUAUAGAUCUAGAUAGACUAAAAACGGAGUUAGAUCGUGGAAAAGAAAAAGUGUUGGAUUAGUAGAUUUUGCAUACACGAAUAAUUAUCGAGGUAAGUGCGUGUAACUAAAUUGAGAACUUAUAUGUGUUAAAUUGAAUUGUAUGUAUGUGAUUGUAUUAUUGUCAUGUAUAUGAAAGUAUUCACAUAUUUGACAAUGAUCGAUAAGUAUAAAGUCCCAUUUGAAUAGAUGAAAUUUGAUUGGAUACAAGAUUCCUGAAUUGAUUGUGGUCCUGCAUAUGUUGCGGACACACUAUAGCUCGAAAGAACGUCCCGAUAUUUGGCCUUCUCGAGCUUCCCAUUAUAUGGUUCUUACGAGCUUCCCGUUAAUAGCUCUUCGGAGCAUCCCGAUUGGUUGUGAUCCUACAUGUGUUGUGGACACACCGCAGCUCUUCUGAGCGUCCCGUUAUAUGGCUCUUCGUGAGCUUCUCGAUUAAAGGCUCUUUGUGAGCUUAUUGAUUAAUGGCUCUCUAGAGCUUCCUGAUAUUGACUCACUUGAAUUCCAGAUAUAUGGCAAUCCGAAGCUUUCCAAUUAAUGGCUCUUCGGAGCUACCUGCUAUUGGCUCAUAUGAGCUUCCUGAUUAUGACUCUUAUGAGCUUCCCGUUAUACAGGCCGGAUAAGCUUCCUGUUACAUGGCUCACAUGAGCUUCCCAUUAUAUGGCUCGAGAGAGAGCUUUCCCAUUUAUAUGCUCAUAUGAGUAUUCCCGAAUAUGAAUCAGUUUUGUACACUUCAGGUGUACUACCUGUGUAUCUAUCGAUAUUUCAAAUAAAUUCAACGGACAAAGUUCUGAUAUGGAAUAAUUGAACUUGAGAUGAAUUAUUAUGGAAAUGUAUAUGUUAUAUGAAUAUAUGAUAUGGAAAACAUAUGUAUAUGAAAACUUUUACAUGAUGAGCUCAUUCUUGUUUCUUGAUAUUCACAUGAAGUACAUGACUAACAUGUUUCUUGAGGUUACAUGUGUUUAGGCAAAUUGGCUAAAUUGUUUGAGUAUGCUUUGAAUAUUUACCUUAAUUGUAAUUGAAUGGUAAGUUAAUUUCCCAUUAUACGAACUUACUAAGUAUUAUAUGCUUUCACUGUUUUAUUUUCUUUGUUUUAUAAUACUUGGAAGCUCGUAAAGGUUGAAAGUUGGUCGGAGCAUCAUCACACUAUCCCUCAGCUCAUUUCGGUAUAAAUAGUAAACUUAUUUUGGUUAUAAUGACAUGUAUAGGUUAAUUAGCCAAUAUUGGCACAUAAAUGUUUGGUUGUAACUAGCCAUUUGAAAUUCUUUGUGAUUGAUAUAUUUUGAUAAGUAUUUAUGUGUGUCUUUAUCUAGUUAAUAUGUAUGGUAAAAUGAUUGAAGUUAAAGUGAUGAUGGAUUUUGCAUAUAAAUAUUUGAUCAAAUAGGUAAGUUUGGAUACAAGAAUAAAAAUGACAAUAUUACAUGAUUAAAAUAUGAUCCUAGCUUAAAUUGAAUGUAUUGAUUUGAAGUGUUGAUAUGUAAAUUGGUUGAGUUAGAGUGAUGAUAGAAUUUGGGUGGGAAAUGAGGCUUGAAAUGGCCUAUUUCGUUUAAAUGGGCAGAGACACGGGCGUAUGUCUCAACUGUGUGUGAUACACGACCUAGCACAUGAGCAUGUGUUUUGGCUGUGUGUCCCUUGCAUCUUUAAAAUUUCAAAGUAGAAUGCUCAGAAUUGAUCACACGGCCUAGUGGCUAAAACUAUACUACUGUUCGAUAGGUACACUUGCCUUCAUCGCGAUAAUAGUUAGUUUCAAGAACGAUUAAUUACAAAUUUAUAAAACUUAUCACACAAAAUCACGUAUCACUUGACCACAUGGGCAUGUGUCCCCUGCACCUUGGACCUCAAGCGCCUAAAACAACGUCGUUUUGCCUUUACCUGACCGGAUCCGAUCCGACCAGGCCUAGGAUUUGCGUGUUUCUAAACGAAAGGGCUAAUUGCACCUUUAGCCCUUCCGCUUUUUAAUGUUUUUGCAAUCAAGUUCUUUUUAUUUUUAAUUUUUACCUUAUAAUUUAUUUCGUUUACAUUUUAGUCCCUUUUUGAAUGACGCCGUUUUGGAGGAGAAGGGAAAAUUUCCCAUUUAGUUCCUCCUUGUUAAUCACGCGUUCAACUUGGUCCAUUACUUUUCUUUAAUUUUUGAUUUCACCCCUAAAAUUUGUUUAGCCUCCAAUUUUAGUCCUUAUUUUAUUUUCUCUAAAUAUUUUUGCAUUCUUAUUUAUUUUACAUUUUUAUCUAUCUAUUUUAUUUAAAUUUCAAUAUUUUAUAUUCACUUUAAUUCAUAAAUUCAACCCUUUUACAUUCUUAUUUUCUUAUUUUCUUUUAUUUAUUAUUUAUUUUAUUUAUCUGUUUAUCUGUUUAUAUUUUGCCCUAAAUUCCAUUUUAUUUUUAAAUUGAACCCUUUUUAUUUUAACUUCUUAUUUGUUCCUUUAUAAUUGUUAUUUAUGUUUAUCAUCUUCCUUACUAUUAUUCUACUACUCGUAUUAGUAUAGUUUUCACUAUCUUUAUUAUUGUUUGUGUUAUUAUUAUUAUUAUUAUCAUUAUUAUUAUUUAAACCAUUUUACAUAGUAUUCAUUUAUUUAUUGAUUUACUAUUAGGUUCUAUUAUUUUAUUUUUAUUUAUUUAUUUAGUUUUUACCUAUUAUUUUUCUUUUUAUUUGUAUAGCUUGUUUGUUUUAGCUCUUUAUUUUGUUUUAUUUACGUCCUUAUUAUUGUCAUCCAUAUUACGCAUUUAUUGUUAUUUUGUUAUGCAUGUUAGUAUCGUGAUUUAUUUUUUACAUUCUACCACAAAUUUGUAUUACAUUAAUAUUUAUCUGAUACAUAAUUUUUUUUAAAACAAACAAUAUUUCGUAUUUUGAGAUUCGAAAAGUCGUUCUUAAACUUACAGGGUCUCGAUUUUCUCGAUAAAUCCAAAUAAACGAAAUGUUUUUUUAAAGCACGGAUUUUAAAUAUUCUCGGGAAUUAAGAAAAGAUCGUGUUCUAACUUACGAAAUAUGAUUUCUUUCUAAAACUGAGAUAAUCAAAUAUCUUUUAAAAUAAAUAAACUUUUCAGAGUUAAUUCUCGUUUCAAGCAUUUAGGGCAUUAUGUCCUAACUUGCGGGACGUAAUUCUUUUUCUCAAUUAACGUGAAAUACCCCUUUUUCUCAAAUUUUUUUUAAAAUAAUACUUUAACAAAGGAUAAUAUUUUUAAAUUUUUUUCAAAUUUUCAAUUUUCGACAGUAAUUAAUCAACUAGGUACCAAUUUUGGGCGUUACGAGGAUGUUAAUCCUUCCUCUUGCAUAAUCGACGCCCGAACCUGUCUUUUUGAAUUUCGUAGACCAAAAGCGUUGUUUUAAUAAAUCAAAACCAUUUAUUAAAACCAACCACUUUACGAGGUGACCCGAUCACACCUUAUAAAAAAGGAUUAGUGGCGACUCCCAUUUUCGUUUUCAUUUUCAAAAUCAAAGUAGACAUUUCUUUGUCAAAAAACGGUUUUGACAGCUUGACGACUCCACUGGGGACCCAAAAUAUGUGACUCAAGCCACGAGUUGAUUACUUUUGGUCUCUUUGUCGAAAAUUGAGAACUUGGUUUAAAUUUACGAUCCUUUAGUUGCAUUUCAUCUGUCUUUGUUGCGAUCUUCAUUAUUUUGGUUUAUAAUUGCUUUAUGGGAUAUAUUUCUGCACAUUGCACCAUAUAAUCUAUCGAUUUUACCCUUUUAAGUGGGAGCGAAAAACUAUUUCUUCGUGAGAUAUUCACCUCCGUAUAGGAUAGUAGAUCACUUUCGGGAUACAUCCGUACCUAUGUCUUCGUAAGAUUUUCAUCUUCGUAUAGCUAUAGGGAAAUGUAUUCCCCUGAACUCACUUGGUCCAUAUGAGCCUAUAAUGGGUGAGGAUCGAGGAAUCAACCGGUUCAGGUACUUUUGCUUUAGAACCGAAUCUUAUAUAGUGAGCCCUAAGAGUCCACCUUAGGUAGAACCGCACCGAACCUCUAGUGGUCAUCCAAAUAGGUGCUUUAUUUAUCAUUUCUUGCUUACUUUAGCUUUGUAUUGACUUGUUUUGUUUUGCUUUGACUGUGAUUGCAUAACAUUCAUCACAAAAAAUGUGUUGAUUCAUAUUCGGUUGCUAAAUAGGUAACUUGUCCUGGAAAAGGGGUUUCUUGAUAAAGUGGAGGAUAAUGCGACCGUCUGGAUAUGGGCCGAAACAAUACAACAAGAGAAGGGUGAUAGUCUUACAGAGGGGUACGUGUCAGAGUUGUGGGAUUUUACUCGUAUUAGCGUAACCCAAAAUAAUCUUCAAGAGAUGAAAGGAAUAUGGGAUCAAUAGGAUGACGAGAUCAAGCAACUAUUCUAUUGUAAUUAUGGUAAUUUGCCCUAUCUACUCAAUAUCAAAAUGGAUAAGCACUUAUUAUGAGCUCUCGCCCAGUUUUGGAACCCUGCCUAUAGUUGUUUUACUUUUGGAAAGGUGGAUUUGGUACCUACUGUGGAAGAGCUCCGUUGCCUGAAGAUUCAAACUGAAAAAGGCCUAUUCUAGAGCUGCCAUUGUCCCAACGUUCUUAAAAAAGCUGAUGAACAUCACGAGGAUGAGCGAACAGUGGGUUGCGGCUGGAUCAAGCAAAAAGGAGAUAGUAGGUUCAUUCCUUGGAGAAAUUUGAGAGAUUUGAUCCUAGCACAUCCUGAUGUGAAGAAAAGGGUUGAUGUCUUCGCGUUAAGCAUUUACAGAUUGGUUAUCUUCACCAACGCUUUAGGGCAUAUAGACGAGGCGGUUUCUGAUUUAUUUAACCGACUUGAUAAAAAGGUCACAUCCAUUCCCGCAAUUCUGGCCUAAACUUUCAGAUCCUUGAACAUAUGCCGAAGAGUAGGCAAAGGGAGAUUCAUCGGGUGCACACAACUCUUACUAGCAUGGUUCCACAACCAUUUUUGGAAAGUGGAAAAGGUCUCAUAUAAUCUUCUCUGAAGACUAUUCUCCGUUGAAAGAUUUAGUGGCUACAUCGAGAUGAGAUGAUAUUAUGAAGAGAAAUGGAUGAUGAUUCUCUAAAAUCUGCAAGACGAAGAUGUCGAAUGGAGAGCCCCUUGGAUGGUCACUGAUGAGAUUUUAUAUCGGUGUGGAGAAUUUGAUUGGGUUCCCCUACUUGGAAUACGGGGGGCUAUCGGGUACGCUCCUCUACUUGUGUUAAGACAAUACAGAUCAAGACAGUUUACGCCAUCAACUCAAGGGUUAGCUUAGUGCAAGUCUGUGUACAAGGAAGGUAAUUACAAAAAGAAAGUUCGUGAAAUAUCGAACGCUUGGAACCAAACUCGUAGAAUGAAAAGGUUUGCUGCCAACCCGAUGACUACCCCUGAAUAUGACCAGUUUGCUGCCAACCUGAUGACUACCCCUGAAUAUGACAAGUGGUGGGGUCAAAGAAUCAACGACAACAUCUCUACGUUAAACCAAGAAAACACCCGCUCGAUAGAAGAAUACUUGCAGGUGAUCUCGUCUGAGCUAGAGAUCAUCAAACAAGAUUUUCAGAGGAAGAGUUUAGAACUAGAAAAAAAGGAUUGAGUAGUUGGAGGAGGAGAGAAUGCAGCUAGGGCUAGAUGUUGAUGUCUAGAAACUAGAAGCCAAGAAACUGAGAAAGGGAAAGAAUAAGGCUGAAGAGGAUUUGGAUAGUUUGAAAAUGGACUAUAAGAAGCUGCGUUUGUCAAUAAGAACCGCUGGCCUGGGAAAAACGUCAGAACAAUGGCGGCAAAAAUUAAAGAGGAAAAAAGUAGAGCCGACCAAUGGGAAGGGAAAUUUCAUGAUGCUAAGCUCGAGAGGAUACUCUGAAAACGAGUUUGGUAGAAAGUUAAAAUGAGAAGGUGGGAUUAAAGACUCAGGUGUCAGAGUUAGAAAGCUCCCUGUAUCUGUAUCGUAGUCGUAACUCUGUAAUCGAGUUGAAGGCUAGCCUGAGCAAAAUUGAAGAGUUAAAAGGGAAGAUAGAAGAACUUGAAACCGCACUGCAAAACUGUGAACUUCAGGUUGAUUCUUUUGAGGCGAAUAAUGAGUAGUGGAAAGAGCAACUUCAUCAAUCUCAAGACCAGGACAGGGAUAGGGACUACGUCAUGGGUGCAACUUUGGCUCAAGUACGAGAAGUGGCUAUUCACAUACAAACCUUAGUAGACUAAGCUGAUGCACUGAGUUUGAAAUAUGAGUCAGAGGUAGAUCUAGGCCGAGAGUUAGCUCGGCUUCUUAGGCAAGUCAAGGCCUUAAGUAUCAGGGCAAGGCCGUAUAUGUAAUCUAUUUUAUGUAAAGAAGUUUGUUUUCUAGAAAAGUUACUCUAAUGAAAUUGAAUCAGAAUCAAUGCCUUUUUGUUGCAUUCAUUUCAUGUAUUAACAUUGCAUUGCAUCGUAUGCAUUAAGUUUCACAAAAGACCUAAUUAAUUAAAAGAGUUAAAAUUCUUUAAAGAUGUCAAAGGCCCGAUAGGAAUGAUGGGAAAUCUGAACAUCAACACCAUAUCUAAAAAAUUGAGGGAGAAAAUUUAUCGAGCAUUUGCUCUUAUGUACUUGGAAGUGUUCUGAACAAUUGGAUUGCAGAAGAGAUUCCUGUAAUUUUUAGAGCUAAUUUAGAGUAAUGUUCAAAACACGCUUAUUGUUCUAGGCCUAGGGGCAAUAAGAAUCCUUUUAUGAAAUAGGGCUAUGUCCAACAUCUUUAUUUCAAUAAAAUGUAUCUUUCUGUCUUAUUCCGAGCAAAAUAUUCUUCUAUUCUUUCAUUUCAUUCAUACUCAUACCCCAUAAAUAAUUAUUCCUUGAUUCAUUUGUUCUGUGGGACUUCCUUUGUUUCUAUAACAGGUCUCCAGAUAUCAAUGAUAUAAGUGACACUGCUAUUAACUCAGAAUCUCCUUUUGAGCGAGAUAUGUGUCUAAAGGGAUCUCAAGACUUUGAAGAUGACAGAGAUUGUAACUUAUCUCCUGAUUUGUUAAGGAUGGUAGAACAAGAAGAGAAACAGAUUCUACCUUAAAAGAAUCAGUGGAAAUUGUGAGCUUGGGGGAAGAAAAAGAAGUGAGGAUUGAAACUUGCAUCGCCACAAAGACAAAGAGAGACCUCAUUGAGUUACUCCAGGAAUUCAUGAUCAUAUCAAGACAUGCCUGUGUUAAGUACUGAUAUCAUGGUACACUGUCCCCCCAUAAAGAACGAGUGUAAGCCAGUUCAACAGAAGCUCCGAAGGAGGAGACUUGAUGUUUUGCUAAAAAUAAAAGAAGAGGUCAAGAAGCAAAUCGAUGCUGGUUUCUUACAAGUGGUCAAAUACUCAGAAUGGGUAGCCAAUAUCAUCCCCGUCCCUAAAAAAAGAUGGGAAAGUACAAAUGUGCGUGGAUUACAGAGACCUGAAUAAAGCCAACCUGAAGGACAAUUUCCCAUUGCCCUAUAUCGAUACUUUAGUAGACAACUUGGCAGGUUACUCACUGUUCUCAUUCAUGGACGGUUUCUCAAGGUACAACCAGCUAAAAAUGCAUCCUGAAGACAUGGAUAAGACCACAUUCAUAACCAUGUGGGGAACAUUUUUCUAUAAGGUGAUGCCAUUUGGACUGAAAAAUGGGGGAGCAGCGUAUCAAAGAGCCAUGGUAACCUUGUUUCAUGACAUGAUGCACAAGGAAAUCGAGGUUUACGUCGACGACAUGAUUGCAAAAUCCCAAACAGAAAAAAAGCACGUGCAAGUUUUGAGGAAAUUAUUUUUGAGGUUGAGAAAAUUUUAGCUAAAGCUUAAUCUAACAAAAUGUAUCUUCGGGCUAGGUCAGGGAAACUGCUAGGAUUCGUAAUCAGUGAAAAAUGGAUCAAAAUUUACCCGAAUAAAUUCAAAGCUAUACAAGACUUGUCUCUCUCCUUCACCUCUGCAUGUUAUGACUUCUCUAUGGCCUUUCUGUAUGUGGGGCAUGAAUGUCAUUGGGCCAAUUUUGCCAAAAGCUUCAAAUGAGCAUCGAUUCAUCUUUGUGGUUAUCGACUACUUCACCAAGUGGGUAGAGGCCGCUUCAUAUGCCAAUAUUACAAAUUCGACAGUUAGCAAAUUCUUGAAGAAGGAAAUCAUUUAUCGAUAUGGAAUGCCAGAAAGGAUCAUAUCUGACAACGCAUUGAAUUUGAAAAACAGCAAGAUAUCUGAAGUCUACAGUCAGUUCAAAAUUAAACACCACAACUCGUCACCAUAUCACCCAAAAAUGAAUGGUGCAGUCGAGGCAUCUAAUAAGAAUAUCAAGAGUAUUGUGGGAAAAAUGACUGAGACUUAUAGAGAUUGGCAUGAGAAGUUACCUUUUGCUCUCUAUGCUUAUUGAACAUCAGUCAGAACCUCUACCCAGGCAACUCCUUUCUCUUUGGUUUAUGGAAUAAGGAUGGUUUUAACCAUCGAAGUUGAGAUUCCUUUCCUUCGAGUCUUGUCCGAGCUAAAAGUGGAUGAAACAGAAUGGAUCUAAUCUCGAUAUGAUCAGUUAAAUUUGAUUAAAGAGAAGAGGUUGAAAGCUAUCCGUCAUGGUCAAAUGUACCAAAAAGGAAUGAUGCGAGCUUACAACAAAAAGGUUUGCCCUAGAGAAUUCCAAAAGAGGGACUUGGUAUUGAAGAAGAUCCUUCCCAUCCAAAAGGACUUCAGAGGAAAAUGAAUGCCAAACUGGGAAGGACAUUAUGUGGUAAAGAAGGCCUUUUCUAGAGGAGCUUUGAUAUUGACCGAAAUGGAUGGCAAGAACCUACCUAAUCCAGUGAAUUUAGAUUCAGUUAAGAAAUACUUCGCCUAAAAAAAAAGGAGAGGCCAAGGUGAAAACCUGCAAAGGGCGCUUUAGACCAAAGGGAUUUGAAAUAAAAACCUGGAAAGAGGCAGCUCAAAUUUGGAAUAAAGAUUGAACUUGUGAUGGUCGAGUCUUCUCAGAAAGAAGAACGUUACAUCUUGGGGCAUCGACAAAGUACUCUAGAUCCUAUAAACACAUAAUUGAGCUUAAAAUGGUCCUCAAGAAGUUUGUGUAGAGAAGCUCAUGUUGCGAUUUCUAGGGUACGACUCUCAUCUUACCCGCUUUGUACUAUAGCAAAAUUUACUAUUUUGAUUAAUUCCAUUCAUUGCAAGCUUUGCUUCCGAUAAAUUUCAGUAUUGUCUAUUGUUACAAUCUUUUUCAAGUAUUUUCCAUUGAAAUAACGAUUAAUGGGCUCAUAAUAUUCACGUAAAAGGAGUUUUGCAUAUUGCUCUGAAAAGCUUCUAAAUAGUAUAGAGACCUGAAACAGGACCACUAGUUAGAACUAACCAAACCUAAGAAUUAGAUACAUUUGAGAGAGAAUAGUCUAAACUGUGACUAUUUCUUUAGAUUUUCUGCCAAAGAUACCAGCUGAAUAAGGGUGCAUGGUAACACAUCAGUGAUAGAACCUCGAUGAGCAACAAGCAAUGGCGACCUAAGCACUACAAAGUGAUCAUUCUUGAAAAAUGACAUUCUGCAUUCAUGCAAAUAUCAUUCAUACACAUCUAGUUAGGAGCAUUUGAUUCAUUCUGAUCAUGACAUCCUAGUCACUUGGCAUAAACAUAGGCCCAUAAAAUGGAUUCUACAGGCCAUGUUCCCUAGAAAAUGGUGUAAUAGAUCAGAGAAGUCAUAAAUCUCAUACCCCUAAAGUUGCAGUGGGAUGGAUUGAAGUUAUUAUGACGAAUCUUACCUCCCUAUAGUUGUAGUAGAGCAAAUUGAAGCCACAAAUUUUAUCUCCCUAAAGUUGUAGUGGAGCAUAUUGAAGUUACCAUGGCGAAUCUUACCUCCCUAUAGUUGUAGUGGGAUAGAUUGAAGCCACAAAUUUUAUCUCCCUGAAUUUGUAGUGGAGCAUAUCGAAGUUACCAUGGCGAAUCUUAUCUCCUUAUAGUUGUAGUAGGGUAAAUUGAAGCCACAAUUUUUAUCUCUUUGAAGUUGCAGUGGAGCAUAUCGAAGUUAUCAUGGCGAAUCUUAUCUCUCUGAAGUUGCAGUGGAGCAGAUUGAAGUUACAAGUCUUAUCUCCCUGAAGUUGCAGUAGAGUAGGUGAAAGAUAGCGAGUCUUAUCUCCCUGAAGUUGCAGUAGAGGAGACUGAAGGUAGCAAAUCUUAUCUCUCUAAAUUUGAAGUAGAGUAGAUUAAAGCGAUAAACCUUAUCUCCCUGAAAUUGCAGUGGAGUAAGUUGAAGCUACUAAUCCAAUUUCCUUCAAGUUGCAGUGGAGCGGAUUAAAGCGAUAAAUCUUAUACGUCUGAAGUUGCAGUAGGUCGGAUAAAAUCUACUAUAACUACAAAUCUCAUCUCCCUGAAGUUGCAGUGGAGUAGAUUGAAGUUACAAAUCUUAUCUCCCUGAAGUUGCAGUGGAGUAGAUUGAAGUUACAAGUCCUAUCUCCUUGAAGUUGCAGUGGAGCAGACUUAAGAUAGCGAGUCUUAUCUCCCUGAAGUUGUAGUAGAGCAGAUAGAAGAUAACAAAUCUUAUCUCUUUGCCCUGAAGUUGCAGUGGAGCAGGUUGAAGCUACUAAUCCUAUCUCCUUGAAGUUGUAGUGGAGCAGAUUAAAGCGACAAAUCCUAUACCUCUAAAGUUGCAGUAAGUCAGAUUAAAUCUACUAUAACUACAAAUCUCAUCUCCCUGAAGUUGUAGUGGAGUAGAUUGAAGCUACAAGUCUUAUCUCUCUGAAGUUGCGGUGGAGUGGAUCAAAGCAACAAGAUGCGGUGGACUAGAACGAAGCCACUUGGGAAAAAGAAACCCUAGAGAAAUUGAGAUUCGACGAGACUGAGCAAAAUUGGUCUUUCUUAAAAGUCUUUACUCCAUUCCCGUUACACGACAAUAAGCAAAAAGGGGCAGCUGUACAAGCCCAAUUCUACCUGGGCCCAAUUAAUAGUCCAUCCAUUUACAUCAGUCCAAACCAACCAAAACCUGAAGCCCAAGUCAAACAGCCCAUUAAAACCCAAGCCUAAACCUAAACCCAACAACCCCAAAACUAGCCCAAUCCUAAAAAACCAAUAGGCCCAAUACCCUAAAAAUUAUCAGAAAAAAGCCCUAAUCCCCCUAACCCAAGUGGUGCUGUAGCCUAACCCCUAGCCUUUGCCUAUCCUGCCAUCGCUUGUCAGCACCGCCCUCAACUUGCCAUCGCUACCUGCAAAACAGCAGUAGAAAAGACAGUGAAUUAAAAAUAUUGAAAGGUUGUAUUUGGCUAUAUAAAGCCAAAAAGAACAUGUAUUUUUGGGGAAACACAUAUCAAAUACAUAAAAACAAAGUUUCAAGCAUACAAUAGAGAGUGAGAAUAAAAGAGAAACAAGCAAUAAAAGAACAACAAAGUUCAGAAACGUGUUAAGGAUACCUUUUUAUUUUUUAUUUUAUUUUCCUUCUUUUUGAAUCUAUUUAUAUACAUAUAUAUAUCCAAAAAGAGUAUAAAAAGGAAAAAAAACUUACCUUUUUUUUAUCACAGAAAAAAAAGAAAAAAUUUAUUUUUUUCGGCCGGCCGAUGGCCGGAGCUUGGCCAGAGGGGAGAGGUAUUUGAGAGAGAGGAGAGGGCUUUUUUUCAGAUUUUUUUUUAAAUAAGUGCUUAAUGAUUUUUUUUGUCAAAAAACUAACUUAUAUAGGCUCCCAAAACGACGUCGUUUUGGGACUGGCCUUAAGCGCCCAAAACGACGUCGUUUUACCCUUACUCGACCCGGCCUAGGAUCUGCGUGUUUUUAAACGAAAGAGCUAAUUGCACCUUUAGCCCUUCCGCUUUUUAAUGUUUUUGCAAUUAAGUUCUUUCUAUUUUAAUUUUUACUUUAUAGUUUAUUUUGUUUACAUUUUAGUCCCUUUUUGAACGACGCCGUUUUGGAGGAGAAGGGAAAAUUUACCUUUUAGUCCCUCAUUGUUAAUCGCGCUUUAAGCUUGAUCCAUUACCUUUUUUUAAUUUUUGAUUUCACCCCUAAAAUUUGUUUAGCCUCCAAUUUUAGUCCUUAUUUUAUUUUCUCUAAAUAUUUUUGUAUUCUUAUUUAUUUUACAUUUUUAUCUAUCCAUUUUAUUUAAAUUUCUAUUUUUUAUAUUCACUUUAAUUUCACCUUAAUUCAUAAAUUCAACCCUUUUACAUUCUUAUUUUCUUAUUUUAUUUUAUUUACUUUUUAUUUUAUUUAUCUGUUUAUAUGUUUAUAUUUUGCCCUAAAUUCCAUUUUAUUUUUUAAAUUGAACCCUUUUUAUUUUAACUUUUUAUUUGUUCCGUUAUAAUUGUUAUUUAUGUUUAUCAUCUUCCUUACUAUUAUUCUACUACUUGUAUUAGUAUCGUUUUCACUGUCUUUAUUAUUGUUUGUGUUAUUAUUAUUAUUAUUAUUAUUAUUUUUAAACCAUUUUACAUAGUAUUUAUUUAUUUAUUGAUUUACUAUUAGGUUCUAUUAUUUUAUUUAUUUAUUUAUUUAGUUUUUACCUAUUAUUUUUCUUUUUAUUUGUAUAGCUUGUUUGUUUUAGCUCUUUAUUUUGUUUUAUUUUCGUCCUUAUUAUUGUCAUUCAUAUUACGCAUUUAUUAUUAUUUUGUUAUGCAUGUUAGUACUGUGAUUUAUUUUUUAUAUUUUACCACAAAUUUGUAUUACAUUAAUCUUUUUCCGAUACAUAAAUUUUUUAAAACAAACAAUGUUUCGUAUUUUGAGAUUUAAAAAAUCGUUCCCUAACUUAGGGGGUCUUUAUUUUCGCGAUAAAUCCAAAUAAACGAAUGUUUUUCUAACGCACGAAUUUUAAAUAUUCUCGGGAAUUAAGAAAAGAUCGUGUUCUAACUUAUGAAAUAUGAUUUCUUUCUAAAACCGAGAUAAUCAAAUAUCUUUAAAAUAAAUAAACUUUUCGGAGUUAAUUCUCGUUUCAAGAAUUUAGGGCAUGUGUCCUAACUUACGGGACGUAAUUUUUUUUCUCGAUAAACGUGAAAUACCUCCUUUUUCUAAAAAAAAAUAAAUAAUACUUUAACAAAGAAUCAUAUUUUUAAAAUCUUUUCAAAUUUUCAAUUUUGGACACUAAAGACACCAACUAAUUAACUAGGUACCAAUUUUGGGUGUUACGAGGGUGUUAAUCCUUCCUCGUGCAUAACCGACUCCCGAACCCAUCUUUCUAAAUUUCGUAGACCAAAAGCGUUGUUUUAAUAAAUCAAAACCAUUUAUUAAAACUAACCACUUUACGAGGUGACCCGAUCACACCUUAUCAAAAAAGAUUGGUGGCAACUCCUCUUUUCAUUUUCAUUUUCAAAAUCAAAGUUGACCUUUGGUUUUCAAAAAAUGGUUUCGACACCCCCCCAAAAAAAGAUACAUAUAAAGAUAAGAGAUUUGAAAAAUAGUUAUGCAUGCUUUUAUCUACUGAUUAUAAAGUUAUAUGAUAUUUUUGUUACCUUACUCAAAUUUGUUUACUCGUCUGCCUUUGCACCAAACUUUGCAACAACAUCAAUAACACCACCACCUCCUCCUCUUUGACCUUCAGCGGAUGAUAUGGAUCAAAGUAGUAGUAUUAACAUGGAUGAAACAAAAUUAAAUUGAAUGGCCAUACUUUCUUUUUAUUUACUUCAAAGAGAGAAUGAUUUCUGUCUUUUGUUUUGUCUCAAACCAUAUUAUAUAAAGAGAGUAAGGCCAAAUUACAACUAACUAAACAUUUUCUAUUUUAAUUAACGUGGGUAAAUAAUAUGACCAAGUUUUAAUUACUAUAAUUAGCACUUUUUUUCUUUUUGGAAGGGAAUUUGCUCAUUAAUUUGCCAACAAACUUGAAUAGUAAAAAGAGUUAACUCACACGUGACUUAAUAUUUCUAUAUAAGGUUUCUAUAUAUGAUUGAAAAUAAUGAAUAAAAUUGUCAACUUAGCUCAGUUGGCAUCGACAUUGUUGCACAUGCAGGCAACCGUGGGUUCGAGCAUGCUGAAGGGCAUUAAUGCUCUCCUAUUUUAAGGGUUGGGGAGGAGUUAUGAGUAGUUCUAGGCAUUAUUGAAUGAUGAAUAAAAUUAUCCAUUAUUAAUUUAUUUUCUUUAUUAUAUUAAUAAUUUAUUAUAUGGUUAGAUAUAGAUAAUUAAAUAUGUAUGUUUUGUAACACCCUAAACCUAGCCUAGAAGUUUAGACCGAAUUCCGGAGGUUACAUUGAUCACCGAAGUGAUCAUAGGAAAAUUUUACAAAACAAGUUAUCUCAAAUUCCAUUACAAACAUAUUUAUCUCUUUACGAACCAAGAACAUUUAAUCUUUUAGAUUUCAAUCAGAAAAAUUAAAGUUAUGUUUAAUUUAUAAACAAAAUAGGAUUUACGAGAAAAUUUCAAAAACAGAACUUGUACCACAGAUUUUACAAAACCUUACAGUUCAAAACAGAAUAACAAAAUGGAAAUUGAAAAGAAGAAUUAUUAAUUUAUUUUUCAUCGUGACUGUCUGUUACCUCCGCAUACCAAGUCCAGCGUCAUAAUUUAGAAAUGCUCUUGCAAGGAAAACACUAAGGGGGUGAGCUACACGAGUUUAGUGUGAGUUUAAAAUGAUUAACAACAGAUUUACAAAAGAGAACUCCAUAUGGUAGUUCAAUGGCAAAACGUACUUACAGAGAUGUACAGAAUCAGAAAACAAACUCGAAAACAACGUGACAACACAUGUAACAAUCAAGCACACCAACUCACUCACAUAAUACUUAAACAGAUGCAUAUGGAUGCAGUUAAGAAUUAAAAACCCACCCAUCCAGCCAAAAGACCUCUCCAUCCCCCGAUCACACCCUAAAAGAGCUAUAUAAGCUUAUCCAACCAAACACACCACUAAGACCUCGAAGGCCCAUCCAACGCUACACAUCGUGUAUAUAGUCUAAGCCAUUCAGAUAAUGAUUGAUGUAAAUCGUGAUAAGUUUUAUAAUUUAUGAAUGACAGUUCUUGAAUACUAACUAUUAUCACGACAAAGGCAAGCGUACCUAUUGAAUAGUAGUAUAGCUUAUGGCAGGACCAGAAUGUCGAACCCAAAUGAACUAAAAGUACUAGUAUUAACUUUCUUUUUAUUAUCUAGCCUAAAAAUAAAGGGAUUUGUUUUAUCUAAACUAAUUACUAAACUAAGAAUGCACAGAAAGUGAAUUGGGGAAAUCACUUUUGGGAAAAUUGAAUGAUUUGGACAAUACUUAAGGAAAAAUCCACCUAGACUUCACUUGUUAUUGACUCUGAAUUAGACGAUUUAUUCAUUUUACUUGAUUUGUAGAAAUCCCUAAUUUAUAUUAUUAUCUCUCUCGAGACUAACAACGUCUAACCUUAGGUUGAUUAAUUGAAAUCUCUUUCUAAUUAAAACCCCUAGUGUUGCAUUAACUCAAUUAUGGAUUCCCUAAUCCGGCAAAAUUAUGUCACCCUAUCUUUAGGCGUGCAAUCAACUCCGCUUAAUUAUGUUAGAUCUACUAUUAGACAGAGACUUUUUCUCAUCUGAAUAAGCACAUCAAAACUUGAAUUAAUAUCCUAGAAUUUCAAAGCAAGAAUUAAGAACACAUAAUUAAGAACAACUCAAAUAUUUAUCAUAUAAUUCAGAAAAUAAUAACAAGAUUCGUCUUAGGUUUCAUUCCCCUUAGGUAUUUAGGGGAUUUAGUUCAUAUUUAUGAAAGAAAACAUCUCAAAAGAAUAAUGAUAACAAAACAUAAAGAAAACCCAAGAUUUUUUGAAGGGAAUCGAAGGGAGAUAUUCAGUCUUGAAGGUGAAUCCGGCUUCUGAGAUGGAUCAAUCGGCUUCCUUCGAGUAAUUCCUUGCUUCCUACUCUCUGUGUCUUUUUUAAGUACCUCUUGGGGUGUUUAUAUAGGCUUUAGAAUGAUUCAAAACCCUCAAGAGUGGCCUCUUCAGAAUAGAACUAGAUUUGGGCUCGACAGGGACAUGCCCGUGUGCAAGUGCUUCAACCCGUGUUCGAGUUUAUUGAAUAGACACGGGCGUGUGGUCUACCCGUGUAAGGAAGUCCAGGCUGUGUUGAUUUCCCACAUUGGCCCAUUUUCUCAUUUUUUGGCCCAUUUAUCGCUCUUUUUACUCUCUUAUGCUUACCUAAGUAUAAAACAUGAAAUUAAAGGAUUAGGAGCAUCGAAUUCCAUGAAUCUGAUGAUAAUUCAUCCAAAACUAUGCUAAGCAUGGGAUAAAAAUAUGUAUAAAUUACGAUUUAUCAAAUACCCCCAUACUUAAGUGUUUGCUUGUCCUCAAGCAAAAUCCUCAACUUACAUUCAAAAUAAAUUCUUCUCAACUUAUAAUUCUCAUCAAUAGUAUCUCAAAAUAAUCCAUAAGUAAUCAUACAUUGAAAAUUCAACUCGAAGGACAUCAAAGUUUCAAACAUUCCAAGUUGAGCAUUUUAUCACAAAAACAUAAGUGUCUCCCCUCAUCUAAGUAACCACUUUUGAUUCAAAAUAUCACAGAGUUUCACAUCCCCACUAAAGAUUCACUCAAAUCACUCGAGGUGUUUAAGGACAGGAAAUUUGGCACUCAACACUCAAUAUGAAAAGUUAUUACCAUAGGCUUGCGUGAAAAUCAAAUCUCCACCACUUUAUAUUGAGAUGAUUCAUCAAUCAAAAGGUCUUUAGAGGGUUGUAACGUGGCUUUGGUUAGGGGGUGUGGUCACAAGCUUGAAAGAAAAGUUAGAAUCGAGAUUGAAUUGAAAAAUUACCUAACUAGAAAAAUAAUAAAAUUUGAUAAAUUACAUUCCUAAUUAGAAGAUCCUAGAAUUGAGCUUUUCUUCAUGGGAUAUGGAAUUAAAUACGUAAGCUCAAAAACAAAAAGUUACUACUAAUAUGUAUGUAUGUUUUUUUAGAACAAGUCAAUUAUUAUAGAACUUUGCUAAAAAUAAAACAUAGCUAAGCAAUUUAUUCAAAUCGAAUCUUGACAAAAAAUAGGGAUAAAAUUAAUUAAGGGGAUUUCAACAAUAAUGGGUUAUGAGUUAAUAUUAAGGGUAAAUCAAUGAAUGGCUUACAUUUUCAAUUUCAUGCAAAUAUCAAUAAACUACAUUCAUAUCAUCCUUAAUACGAGCCUACGAGGCUCAAAACAUGCAUUUGGGGUGGUCUGGGACUAAAGCGAUAACUUUUAAAACUUAGCGAACACUUAGAAAAUUUUAUCAAAAAUAGAGGACACACACCCGUGUGGCCUAGCGGUGUCUCUCACACGGCCAAAGGCACGCCUGUGUCACAGGUCGUGUGGACAAUCAAAAUGGAAGCACAUGACCAUGUUCUUGCCUGUGUCCGACCCCGUGUAACUCUCUGACUUGGGUCACACAGCCAACACAUACGCCCACAUGCCCUAAAAAUGGCCACACACGUUCGUGUGCCAGGCCAUGUGCUAGGCCGUGCCAAACUUGUAGGGUAUACUGAAUUAUGCCACACGGCCAAGUUACACGCCCGUGUGUGAGGCCAUGUGAAGCAUACUGACUUGGUUUUUAAUUCAACACUAGGGGACACACGGCCGUGUACAUGACGUGUACCACAUACGGCUGAGACACACGCCCGUGUCUCUACCCGUGUGGACAAAAAUAGGCUAUUUAACAAGCCAAUUUUCCACCCAAACUUGCAUAAACCUUCACUAAACUAAAUUGAAAAAAAAACAAGGCAUAAUUAGGCAUCCAAAACAACCACAACGUAGACUAAAACAUGCCAUUUCGAUAUCAGCAACCACAAAGCACAUGAUAUCAUGUUUUACCAAUUCAAAACAUACUAAUUUCUCACCUAAAAAUUUACUUAUAUGUUUUCAUUCAAAUAUACAACAAUUACCUAAAAUUUCAAGCAUACAAAUCUCAAAUUCAACCAUUUGCUACUCAAGCUACUCAUCCACCACAAUCAUUCAUCAAGCAAUUAUAAACCACAUCACAAAUAGAGCAUUGGCACAUACAUAAAUAUAUAACACUAACCAAACCAAAUAGGCCAACUUACAUGGCUAUACACAAAACUAAACCUUAGACAUUUACAAGCUAAUUCAUUUGGCUAUAUUCAUUAUCAAAUUAUGAACCAAAAUGACCAAAGUCCCUAUACAUGCCAUAUAUUCCAAAACAUAGAGUCAAAAGUACCAAAAUGAUAGCUUGAUAGCAUGGGUGGACAAGAUGUUAUGGCUAAAAACAUGUCAUAAACAUGUUGGGGUAAUGCAUUAUGUAAGGAUUAAUAAAAUAAAGAGCAUGGGCAAUAAAAUAUUAGUGUUAGUAGGAUGAGAAACAAAAAAAAAAGAAAGGAUGUGUGUGAUUGUCCCCCCCAUUGCCGUGAGUUGAAGGAAAGAAAAACAAAAAAAAAGUGUUCAUCCUUUGGUUCAUCCUUGGCCGAAAAUUUUAAGGAGGAAGGAAGAAGAAAGGUUGAAGAGGUUCGGCCAUGCAUGUAACUAGGCUAAGGUAUGUUUGAUGAUGUUCCAUGAGAUGCAUGCAUGUUUUAGUUGUUAGCUUGAGUUCUACCUAGUCCAUGGUCUAAAUCGUGCUAUGUGAUGGAAAUGACACUCGGCCAUGAUUGCAUCAUUCUUGCUUGGUGUUGAUGUUGUGUUGGUGAGAUAUCAAGUUAUUUUUGUGACCAAGUUGAGAUUUGAAUUUUUGGAAUGAGUAAGGUUUUCGGCUAUGGUAAAUAUAAGGGUGAUGGAUGUUGUGUCAUGCUAAAUCUAGAUGAACAAUGUUAGUGCUUAUAUCUCGAUAUUCAUGAGUUUCUUUCUUGGUUUUACCUCAAACCCAUGAAGUAUUUUAAUUGGUGUUGUUAGAGGUUUCGGUCAUGGGACUAUAAGCUUGUUAGUUUUGAUGAUGAAAUUUAUGCCUUGCAAGGGUAAAUGGUGUCUUGAUGCAUUCGGCCAUGGUAGAAAGUUGAUGUGAAAUGGUAGUAAGAUAAAAUGCAAAAUGUUAGUAUUUGAUUACUAGUUUAUAAAUGCGUAUUAGCCGAGUUUUGAAUUUGAAACGAAACGGUAUAUAACCAAUACAAGUAACCAUACUUGUGGGAAGUAUUAAGCAUAUAAUUGGCCUCAACAUAUACAUGCAUACUCGGCCACAUGAGAAGAUUAGUGUUGCAUGCAUUCGGUUAGAGGCAAGCAUAUUGAUGCCUUUAUCUUGGUUAGGACAAUCGGCUAAAAGGGAGUGUGGGUUAAUAUGUUUAGUUGAUGCAUGAUUUCACAUGUAUGUGACUUUAAUGUCUAAUGUAUAAAUAUGGGCUAAGUGCCUUGUGUUCCUCUUUUCGAUGCUCAAAUGAUUAAAUCAAUUUAUUUGUUUAAUUAAGCUCAAGAGCAAAGGGGAUCUAAAUCCGAUAAAGGGAAGGAAAAAGUGGUCGAAUAGCCAUCGAAGUCGUUCGACAACAUCCGAGGUAAGUUCUUGAGUAAUAGAGCUUAAAUUAUGAUUUGAUUAGAUCAUGUUUUAAGUAAAUCAAAAUCAUGCUCUUUGUGUGUGGCUAUUGAGCCGAAAUUGCAAGAGUGAUAAGUGUCUUGUGUUUGAGUUUUGCUAAUGAAAAUGAAAUACGAAUGUGUCAUGAUUUAUUGUUAAAUGUGCAUGGUUAUUCGAAUGAUGUCCGGGCUAAGUCCCGAAGGCUUUGUGCUAAGUGACCAUAUCCGGACUAAGAUCCGAAGGCAUUUGUGCGAGUUACUAAUUCCGGGCUAAGCCCGAAGGCAUUGGUGCGAGUUACUAAAUUCGGGUUAAGUCCCGAAGGCAUUUGUGCGAGUUACUAUAACCGGGCUAUGUUCCGAAGGCAUUUGAACGAGUAGCUAUAUCCGAUUAAAUUCCGAAGGUACGUGAUUCGGGAAUGAACGAUCUUGCUGUAAAAAUUUCAGUUAAUACGCUUGUAACAUCCCAACAUUGAGGUAUGUUUCGUAUUUGCUUUGAAUUAGUUGAGCCCUUACAAAUAAGUAUUCGCUCAGUUGAUAAAUGAGCUACCGGCCUUUGGCUAAGUUGAUCUUUGUGUAUGAAUAUAAAGGUUGGUAAUGUGAAGUAAGUAUGAUAUUGAAAAUUUGUGCAUAUGAAAUUAUCUGUUUAGCUACAUGAAUGCUAUACUUUGGUUGUGUCUAAAUUCUUUGCUCAAAACUUACUAAGCAUUUAAUGCUUACUCCGUUUCUUUGAUUCUUUGUUUUAUAGAUUUUGGUUCUUCAGCUAUCAGACUCGGGAUUUUGAAGUCGAAGUCGCCCACACUAUCAAAGCUCCUUUUGGUAUACUUUUGGUUGAACUUUGAAAUGGCAUGUAUAGGACCACCCUUUUGUUGUUGGUCAUGAACCCUUCGGUAUUGUGUAAAUUUGGAUAGCCAUGCGAAAAUGGCUUAAAUAUACUUUGAUCAUAGCAUUAUAGUCGUUUUGUAUGUUGUCCAUCGAGAGGUAUGGAAAUGUUGGCAACGGUUAGCCAUGGGAAUGGUUAUUCAUGAUCACUUUUGAUAAAUGUAUGACAAACUCUAGUUUAUCCAUGAAGGAUCAUGAAAUAGGUAAAGUUUACCUUAAAAAUAGAUGCUGGCAGCAGCAGUGAUGUGGAUGUGAAAUAUCACUAAAAAUAGUAGGAAUGGAAUUAAAUAGUGAAUAAAUUAUGUAAUCGAAGCUUGAUGAAUCUAUUUUCAUAGGAAAGUAACGAAAUGUUCAUAUGAACAGUAUAUUAUGAGAUGCUAAAGUUUUCAUGAGACAGGGUCAGAACAGUUUCUAGAUCCCCUGAUCUGACUUUGGAAAUUCAUUAUAAAUUAACCAGAGACAUUUAGAAGUCAUACCAUAUAUGUAUAGAUUCCUCUUUGAGUCUAGUUUCUAUAGAAACAAACGGAAUCGGUAUUGAAGCCCUGCACAGGGAGAUAUCCAAAUCGUAAUGCAUGAAGGUCAGUGUAGUCACACCCUGUAACAGGGGAGACUUUAACUAAUAAACUGUACUAAUUGGCCCAACCAAAAAUUCUAGAAAAAAUAUGUAGAUGGAAAUAUGAGUCUAGUUUCAGGGAAAAAUUACGAAACUGAUUUUCGAGUUUUAGAACUCAAGAUAUGAUUUUUAAGGUGACAGUGACACAGUUAGCCAACUGCCUGGAAAUUUUUAAAAUGGACUGUAAAAGUAAAUGAAUUAAGUCGGUUAGCACCUCGUGUUCGACUCCGGCAACGGUCUCGGGUACGGGGUGUUACACAUUUUGCCACCUAUUUUGCACAUACCUAUUCAAGCUCAAAUUUGCAACAUUUUAAAACCCAAUAGGCAGCAAAUCCAUAACAUUUUAUACACAUAUUAAACCAAUUCAACUACAAUCAUUUCUAAAUUCAAUAUUCAAAUGAUAUAUCCAACUGCACAUGGUAUCCAAAUACCUAAAUUAUAAUCAAGCAUUUUCCAUUCAUAUGCCUAUCACAUAUCAAGACAACAUUUUCAUAUUUCCUUUCCAUUUACUACUUGCCAAAUUGUACCAUAUUGAAUACUUAUAUGCAACCAAAACAUUAUACCAAGUUAAGCCAAAUCACAUGGCUUUAUCUUAUACCACAACAUGUACCAAAAUCACUAGCUCAAGUAACCAUAAAUAUCAUCUUUAUAACUAGCCUAUACGUGCCGUAUUUACAUUUAUCCAUGAGUUCAAAGGUACCAACCAGCAACUAGAUACUGUGAUGCGUAUCUCUGACUUUAUCUGAAUUGAGCAAGCUAUCAAACCUCUAUAAAACACAGAAAUGAAACAGAGUAAGCUUUAUAGCUUAGUAAGCCGAUAUAAUUUAGAAUUAAACUUACCAUUUAUACAUAAUCAAGACAAAUAAAUAAGGUAUACUAAAUUCAAUUACCAAAUGCCUGAACAAAAGCAUUCAUCAACAAGUUAGUCACAUAAGUAUAUGUAGUCAUCCAUAUUCAAUUCUGCUCUUUCGAACUAUGAUCAGUAAGCUCCUCCUGAGCUAAUGGACAGUAAGCUCUAUUGAGCUAAAACAGUAAGCUCUAACGAGCUGAAAACAGUAAGCUCUUAUGAGCUAAAAACAGUAAGCUCUUAUGAGCUGAUAUAUCGGUAAGCUCAUACGAGCUGUGGUGAGUCUGCAACACAUGCAGGAUCUCAUCCAAAAUAGCAACCCUAGUAACAUGUCAUUUGUAACCUAUGACUUUCUACGUUUCAAACGAGACUCAUUAUUCAAUAAUUCUCAUCAACCAAGGAUACAAACUCGGUAAUACCAUUUACUCAGUUAUACUUUCAUUUCAAAUAAUUUACAAGUAUUUAAAAAUUUGAUUCUAAUAAUAUGAACUUACCUCAAGCUGUUUAGAUGGAAAUUAUUGACUAUUCGUCCACUUUUCCUUUUCCCAAAUCUAAUCCUAAUCUUGGCUUAUCUUGAAAAGCAUGAGAUUAUGUUGGCCGAACCUUAACAACUCCCAUGGCUUCUUUCUCUUUUAAUUUUCAGUGAAGAUGAAGUAAAAAUGAUGAUAUGCAUGUUUUGUUUCAUUUAAUUAAUCUUGAAUAAUUAAUUUACUAUAUUAUUCUUAAAAUAAAACCAUUAAAACAUGCAUAAAUAAUACCCAUUAAUGUCCAUUCAAACUUCAAAUGGUUUAAUUAUCAUUUGAGGACCUCCACUUUAAAAACCAUAGCUAAUAAACACCUUUAGCUUAUAGAACUAAACUUUUACACUUUACGCGAUUUAGUCUUUUUUUUUUAUCAAAUUGACCAUUUAAAUGAUAAAAUUUCUUAACGAAAUUUUCACACAAUCACAUUAUCAUGCUGUAAAUAUUAAAAUAAUAAUAAAUUAAAUUUUUUUACCUCGGAUUUGUGGUCCCGAAAUCACUGUUCCGGUUUAACUAAAAACGGGCUGUUACAAGAAAUGUAUAAUUCAGCUAAUUUAUCAAGUGAAUAAACAGUACAUACCGGAAUGAAAUGUGUUGAUUUUGUUAGUCGAUCUACAACAACCUAGAUAGCCUCCUUUUUUUCCAGAUACAGAGGCAAACCUGAUACAAAAUCCAUCGUAACUCUAUCUCAUUUCCACUUUGGUAUCAUCACUAGUUGUAGCAAUCCCGAAAGCACUUGAUGUCUAGCUUUAACUUGCUGACAAACCAAACAUCUCGAUACGAACUCUGAAAUGUCUCGUUUCAUGCCCGACUACCAAUACAACUGUUUUAAAUCAUUAUACAUUUUAGUACUCCCCGGGUGAACAGAUAGACAACCACUAUGUGCUUUGUGUAAAAUUUUCUGAAUGAUCUCAGAAUUCUUUGGUACACAUAUUUUGCCUCAAAACAUUAAACAAUCAUCAGAUCCGAUCUAAAAUUUUGAAUCAGUAGUCGACUCACAUUGCAUUCUUUUAGUUUGCAAUUCAGUAUCACACUUUUGAGCUUCACAAAUUUACUGAAGAAAAACCGAUUUAACUUUCAACUCUGCUAGAAUCGAACCAUUAUCAGACAAAGUUAGUUGAGUAUUCAUCGCACUUAAAGCAAAUGGAAAUUUUUUACUCAAAGCAUCUACGACUACAUUUGCUUUUCCCAGAUGAUAAUCAAUCACUAACUCAUAAUCUUUCAGCAACUCUAACCAUCUUCACUGUCACAAAUUCAGAUCUUUCUGAGUCAUUAAAUAUUUCAAACUCUUGUGAUCGAUAAAGAUAUGUCACUUUUCACCGUACAAAUAAUGUUUCCAAAUUUUCAAUGCGAAAACAAUAGCGGCCAACUCUAAAUCAUGCAUCGGAUAGUUCAUUUCAUGCGGUUUUAACUGUCUGGAGGCUUAAGCUAUGACUUUUCCUUCUUGAAUCAAAACGCAUCCCAAACCGUUCAAUGACGCAUCACUAAAAAUAAAAAAUUCUUUACCUGAUUUAGGUUGAACCAACUCUGGUGCCUCAGUUAACAAUGCUUUCAACUGUUCAAAAAUUUGCUAACAUUUUUUAGACCUGUAACAUCGUAAACUCGACCUAGAAGUCUAGACUGAAUCUGGGAUGCUACAUUGAUCACUGGAGUGACCGUGAGAAAGUUUUACAAAAAUAAACCGUUUAUUACUUAAACACAUUUAUUUUAUAGCAAACCAAAAACCAAUGACCGUUUUAAAAAUUCUGUCUGAAAAGUUACCAGUCUAAAAUAUACAAAUAUAACAUAUAGAGAAAAUUGUACCACAGUCUUAUAAAGCUUUUACAAUUCAAACUAAAAUCAAAUAGCAAUUAAACUUAUAGUUCAUUUCUUCAAGACUAUCCAAGACCUCUGUGUACUGAGUCCAGCAUUCAGAAUCCAAAGCUUUACCUGAAAAGGGAAACAGAAGAGGGGGUGAGCUACUCGAGCUCAGUGUGAGAUCAAACCAACUAAACUACAGAAACAGUAAUAGAAAUCUAGAAGCAGUUCAGAAGCAGAACAUACUUUCAGAGCUAUACAGAAACAGUUGUUACGUUCAAAACGGACGUACCGGCAGACAACAUUAUUUAGAGCAUAAUAAAAAUUACACUCAGCUACACAAUUGUAGUACUAUCCAGACAGAUGUUUCAACUCAAUCAGUUAGAUACACAUUUAUGUCUCAUGUGCCCUCUUAGGCACGGUAUCAACAAUUCUCAAACGAUCACAGUAUCAGUAAUUCUCAAUCUUUUACAAGUUUUAAUUCAGUCAAACAGAUCAAUCAAAUGCAUAUGAAUGCAAUUGAUUUAAAUACACCCACCCAUCCAGCCAACACACCUCUCCGUCCCCCACCGCUCCUCAAUAGAGCUAUUAAGCUCAUCCAACCAAUCACUCCAUAUAGGACCUCAAAAAGCCUAUCCAACCCUACACUCCAAAAUGAUGUCAUCCCGGGUUGCCCAACAACGAUGGACAUCAGCAUUGUCCUCGACCCUCAGGUUAUUGGGACUGCCUACGACCUUCUGGGUAUUGGGGCUAAUAGUAUGCAGAUAAAUUGCCAAUCACGUAUAUUACGUAGCAAAGGUAGUGUAUGCGGUAAACCGCGGUACAGACAUGUAGUAUAAACUGCCAGAUCAGAUAGUGGUACGUAGCGUAGCUAACGUACAUACGGUACAGUGCAAUGCGAUAAUUCGCUAUACUGUUAGGUUGCACUAAAACUGCCAGUUCAGUCAAUGAUACGCAGCUAUGCUAGCGUAUGUUCCGUACGGUGCAGUGUAGUAGUCCGCAGUAUAGUCAAAUUGUCCAUGACCCUCAGGGUAUUGGGACAGCCCAUGACCCUCUGGGUAUUUGGGGCUAAUAACCAACAGAUCAGCUGCCAGUUCAGUUCAGUCAAUCUUUCUUCUCUUCAAAAUCCCACCCAAAAUAGUUUAUACAUAUGUAUGUAUGUAUGUAUGCAAAUGUAUGUAUACAGAUGUACCAAUUCAGAACGCAAUUUCGAACAGUCAUUCACAACCAAUCAAUUGGUUACAGAAGUAUAUACACCUAUAUACUCAGAUUCAGUACCUAACAUAUCACACAUCCAAUCACAACGAAAGCAUAAACUAAAGUCAGGACAGAGUCAUCUCUACCUUUAGUAAACUUAGCUUAGCUAAGGAUUGGAACACAACAGUUGCGAUUGCACUUACAUUUGACCUAAAAUCAUUAUCUAGCGAGACAGGACCACACGCCCAUGUGCUCUGGCCGUGUGGAGCAAUCCAGGCCGUGUGGGGGUCCAAACGCCUGCGUGAAGGGUAGCACACGACCAUGUGAAGAAAUAGGGACACAGCCGUAUAAAUAGGCUAUGUAACUUACUAUUCAAAUGUGCUAAAAUAAGGUGCAGGACAGAGACGGCCAUGUGAGGGUCUCACACGCCCGUGUGCCCACCAGACGUGGCUGUGUGGUCUAAAACACAUGCCCGUGUGGGAUCCCUAAAUCCCCAAAUCAAUCACACGGCCAUGUGAAUUUUGACAAAAUUUGCAAAUAGGCCAUACGGCCGUGUGGCGCCCAAUUUGGCCCAGAACCCUAAUUCCCAAAUCCACAUAGCCGUGUUCUGUGGCACACACCCGUGUAAUCAUCAAGGAGGUUACAAAACCACCCCAAAUAAGCGCCGGAACCGUCGUUUAAGCCACCAAAAUAGUCUCUAACCUUUGCCCUAUCAACAUAUAUCAAAAAGCGACGAUUCACCUCACUUUCAUCUACUAAAAACCCAAAAUCAACGGGUUAGACUACAAUCAUGAAAAGCCAAACAGAGAGUUUGCAAUUUAAUUAAACAAAUAGAAAUAGAAUAGUUACAGUUCGAAUCCCACACCUGUAAUGUGAUCGGAGAAGACGACAGAGGCGCAAAAUUCUUGAAUCCACAAAUCAACCGUUUUGAGAAAUAUUCAGAGAGAAGAAGAGAGGGGAGGAGAGGAGAACGUGAAAACAUAAAAGCCAAAAAUAAAAUAAAAUAAAAAUAAAAGAGAAAAAAUAAAAACAAGUUUAGUCAUAAAACUAAUAAUUUAAUAAUUAUAAAUAAUUAUAAUUAUUAGCUAAAAAUAAAGCAAAAUAAAAUACUUACCAAAACGUUCACACUAAGACUCGAACCCGGAACCAUGAGGUUCCCUAACACCCUCUCAACCACCAGACCAAUAGACCCAUUCUGACACUAAAUUGCACAUCCACACACAUAUGUGCAACCUUCCCACUAUCUCUACGCUUAAAAAUCAAAACUUCUAGGCCCAAAAUUUCGGGGCAUUACAAGACCAUUCGAAUUUCACAUCUUUUUGUAAUAAUCUAGUCAUCGGUGUAGCAAUCAUCAAGAAUUCUUUAACAAAUUUUCGAUAGUAGCCAGCUAAUCCUAGAAAGCUUUUGACUUCAGAUACAUUUCUCGGUGGUUUCCAAUCAACGACAGCUAAAAUCUUGCUUGGAUCAACUCGUAUACCUUCCGCUGAAAUAAUGUGCCCCAAAAGUCUAACUUCUCUGAGCCAAAACUCACAUUUACUGAAUUUAGCAAACAAUUGCUUAUCUCUCAAGGUUUGUAGCACAAUCCUCAAAUGCUCGGCAUGCUCAGACUCAUCUUAAAAAUAGAUUAGAAUGUCGUCAAUGAAUACAACAAUGAAUCUAUCUAAAUACUGUCUAAAAAUCUGAUUAAUCAAAUCCAUAAAAAUUGCAGGAGCAAUAGUCAAUCCAAAAGGAAUAACAAGGAAUUCAUAAUGUCCGUACCUUAUUCUGAAAGAAGUUUUCGGCACAUCCAAAUCUUUAACUCACAACUAAUAAUAACCAGAUCUUGAAUCAAUAUUCGAGAAUACUAUUGUCCCUUUCAACUGAUCAAACAAGUCAUCUAUUCUCGGUAAUGAAUGUUUGUUCUUUAUCAUAACUUUAUUAAGUUGUCGAUAAUCAAUACACAUUCUCAUCGAUCCAUCUUUCUUCUACACAAAUAACACUGGUGCACCUUAGGGUGAAAAACUAGGUCAUGUAAAACCUUUAUCAGUUAACUCUUGCAACUGAGAUUUCAACUCUUUCAACUCUAUCAGAGCCAUUCUAUACGGAACUAUUGAUAUUAGAGAUGUUCCCGGCACUAACUCAAUAGCAAACUCAACCUUUCUGAUCAGUGGUAACCUAGGCAACUCUUUUGGAAACACAUCCGGAAUCUCACAGACUAUCGGCACUGAUUUAAUCUUUGAUUCAGACACUUUUGUAUCUAAAACAUAAGCAAGAUAAGCUUCACAACCUUUUCUCUCAUAUCUCUGAGUUGACAUUGAUGAAAUCACAACUGGGAACCCACUCGACUCAUCUGAUUCAAUUUGAAUGAUUUCACUAUUCUGACAUUUCAAUUCAAUAGUCUUUCAUCUACAAUUCACAACAGCAUCAUGUAACGUCAACUAAUCCAUACCCAGAAUUACAUCGAACUCAUCAAAUGGAAAAAGUAUAAAACCAGCUGGAAAAUAGUAACCUCAUGUCAUUAAAGGACAAUUCUUGGACACUUUAUCAACUAGAAUAUGCCUGCCUAAGAGGUUCGAUACUUAAUCACAAACUCAAUAGACUCAAUAGGUAAAUUCUUACUAAAAACUAAAUUCUCACAAACAUAUGAAUGAGUCGAUCUAGGAUCAAUCAAUGCAACAGUAUUAGUGUCAUAAAGAGAAAAUAUACCGAUGAUAACAUCUGGUGAUGACGCCUCUUCGCGAGCACGAAUAGCGUAAGCUCUAGCAAGUGCUCCGACCUCAGAUCUCAUAGCAGUGUAACACCUUUCGGACCUCAAAAUAGGGUUACUAAGUUUUAUCGGACAUACAAAACAUAUAAACGUACUUCUAUCAUACAUUCAAUCAUUUCAUACAAUCAUCAUUUGAAAUUCAAUCAAUUUGUCCCUUAUAAUAGCCUACAAGGCUUUAAUCAUGCUUUGGAAAUGAUUCGGAGCUAAAUCGGUAACUCAAGAAACUUCCGCAAAACUUUGAAAAUUUUUCUUAAAACAAGGGACACACGCCUGUGUGGCCAGACGUGUGUCUCACACGGCCACCAGACAUGCCAGUGUUAGAGGCCAUGUGAACAUUUGAAAUGGAAGCACAUGGCCGUGUCUCAGCCCGUGUCUCACCUCGUGUAACUUUCUGACUUGGGUCACACGGCCAACACACACGCCUGUGUGGUUAGCCCAUGUGCCCUAAAAAUGGCCAUACACGCCCAUGUGCCAGGCCGUGUACUAGGCCGUGUCAAACCUGUAGCAUAUACUGACUUAUGCCACACGACCAAGUCACACACCCGUGUGUGAGGCCGUAUAGAGCAUACUGACUUGAUUUCAACUUGAACACUAGGGGAAACAAGCCCGUGUCUCUUUCCGUGUGGACAAAAAUAGGCUAUUUGUAAAGCCAUUUUGUCACCCUAUUUUUACAUACCUACACAAACAUAACUUGCAACAUUUUAGAACUCAAUAGGUAGCCAAUCCAUAACAUUUCAUAUACAUAUUAUACCAAAUUAAACCAAAACACAUGGCUUUAUCUUAUACCAUAACAUGUACCAAAAUCACUAGUUCAAGUAACCAUAACUAUCAUCUUUAUAACUAGCCUAUACAUGCCAUAUUUACAUAUAUCCAUGAGUGCAAAGGUACCAAUCAGCAACUGGAUAGUGUGAUGCGUAUCUUCGACUUUAUCUGAAUCGAGCGAGCUAUUGAACCUCUAUAAAACAUGGAAAAGAAACAGAGUAAGCCCGUAUAAUUUAGAAUUUAACUUACCAUUUAUACAUAAUCAAACAAUUAAACAAAGUAUAUCAAAUUCACUUGCCAAAUGCCUAUACACAAGCAUUCAUCAAUAUGUUAGUCUCAUAAGUACAUAUAAUCAACCUUUAUCUCAAUUUUAUACAUCAAUGUAUUAUAUCAUACCAAAUUCGUGUAACAUAUAAAACAUAUGUAACAAUUCAUCCUCAUUUAUAUAAUCGAGAAUCCAAUUAUAUAACUAGUAAUUCAUCUGUAUAACCAUUAGUAAAAUUAUGUCCAUUGAACCUAUUAGAAUAUUGAUAGAUACACGAGUUAAAUUCACUAAAUGUAUUAAUCUGUAAUCCGUCAAUUCAUUAUCGUAUUUACUCUUUUGAGCUAUGAUCGAUAAACUCCUCCUGAGCUGAUGAACAAUAAGCUCAAUCGAGCUGGAAAUAAUAAGCUCUGACGAGCUGAAAACAGUAAGCUCUUACGAGUUGAUAUAAAGGUAAGCUCAUAAAGCUGCGGUGAGUCUACCACACAUGCAGGAUCUCAACCUAAACGGUAACCCUAGUGACAUGUCACCCAUAUUCUACGAAUUCCUACAGUUCAAACAGGCUCGGUAACCAUCAGACUAUAUCAAUAAGGUAUUCAAAUUUCAAGUAGAUCAUUUAAUCAAUUACAUACAUUCAUUUCAAAUAAUCAAGUAUUUAAAAGUUUGAUUCUAAUUAUAUGAACUUAUCUCGUAUCACUCGAAUAACAAAUAUUAGCUAAUCGUCAACCUUUCUUUUUCCCCGAUCUAGAUUCAAUCCUUGCUUAUCUUGAUCUAUAUAUAUUUAAAAAUUAGCAUAUUUAGUAUCUGAUCUAUUCAAUUUAACCUUUAAUUUAUAUUUUGACAAAUUUACACAUUUGCCCCAAAUGAUUCACACUUUUACAAUUUAGUCCUUAUUACAUAAAAUUGCAAAUUCAUGCAAUUAAUCACAAACCCAUGGUUGGCCGAAUUUUAAUGGAGUCCCUAGUGGCCCAUAUCAUUUAUUUAUUCACACUUUUACCUACAUAAUUUUACAUUUUCACAAAUUAAUCCCUUUUUGACAUUUUUGAUCAAAAAUCACUUUACAGAACUAGUAAAUCUAUCAAUAAACCUUCAUAAUCUAUAAUCAAUAUCAAUUUAAUCAAACAUUCAAUAAUGGAAACAUAUUAAAUCUUUAACAGUUUUGAAAUCAAAGGUAUGAGCUAGCUAGAUUAAGCUGCAACGAACUCAAAAACAUAGAAAUCAUUAAAAAUUGAGCAAAAACCGUACCUUAAUCAAGGAUUCAAGCGGCCGAACCUUAAAAGAAAAAAAAUGGCUAUUAUUUAUUCGUAGUUUUGGUUAAGGAAGAUGACAAUGAAUAAAAAUAACUUUUGGUUUUAUUAAAUUAACCUUUAUUUACCAAUUUACUAAAUUAACCUUUAAAAAUAUUAUAAAUUACACCAAUUUCCAUGCUAUCAUCAUCCACUAACCCAUAAAUAGCUAAUUUACCUCUUAAGGACCUUUAAUUUAAUAUUCUAUAGCUAAGUGACACUUUUAACUAAUAGAACACAAGUUUUACGCUUUACGCGAUUUAGUCCUUUUUACCGAAUUAAGCAUUCAAAUAGUAAAAUUUCUUUGCAAAACUUUCACACAAUAAUUCUAUCAUGUUGUAAACUUUAAUAAAGUAAUAAAAUAAAUAUUUUGACCUCAGGUUUUUGGUCCCAAAACCACGUUUCGAUUAGACUAAAAACGGGCUAUUACAUCUCUCCCCCUUAGGGAUUUUCGUCCCCGAAAAUCUUACCAGUGAAUAGGUUUGGAUACUAUUUUCUCAUAGCUUCCUCGGGUUCCCACGUAGCAUCCUCGAUCCCAUGUUUAUUCCAAAGAACUUUCGCUAGAGCUAUGUGUUUAUUUCUCAAUUCUUUGAUUUCACGAGUUAAAAUCCUAAUCGGUUCUUCGCUAUACGUCAAAUCAGUCUGUAUCUCAACAUCUACCGAAGAAAUCACAUGUGACGGAUCGGAUCUGUAUCGACGUAGCUUAGAAAUGUGAAAGGCAUUAUGAAUCUUUUCAAGUUCUGAUGGUAAAGUCAGUCGAUAUGCUAUAGGCCCUAUUCUUUCGACGAUCUCAUAUAGUCCGAUAAAUCGCGAACUCAACUUUCCUUUACGGCUGAAUCAAAGAACUUUUUUCCACAUUGGCACUUUAAGCAACACUCGGUCUCCAAGUUGGAACCCAAUUUCUUUAAUUUUUAAAUCCGUGUAUGAUUUCUGUCAAUCUGAAGCUGCUUUUAAACUGUCGCAAAUUGUUUUCACUUUUUCUUCAGUUUCUCUGAUCAAUUCAACCUCGUGAUUCUUUUUCUCACUUAGUUUAGUCUAUUAUAUCGGAGUUGAACAUUUGUGACCAUAUAAAGCUUUGUAUGGUGCCAUCUUUAUACUUAUCUGAAAACUAUUGUUAUACGCAAACUCAAUCAAUAGUAAGUUUUUCCCAACUGCCCUCAAACUCUAAAAUACAUCAUCUCAACAUGUCUUUGAGAAUCUGAAUAACUCUCUUGGUCUAACCAUCAGUCUGAGGAUGAAAAGCAGUACUAAAAUUCAAUUGUGUUCCUAAAGCUUCUUGCAGUUUCUUCCAAAAUCACGAUAUAAAUCUCGGAUCUCUAUAAAAAAUGAUAGAUAAUGGCACCCCAUGCAAUCGAACAAUCUCAGAAAUAUACAAUUCAGCUAGUCUAUCAAGUGAGUAAUUUGUACGUACUGAUCUGAAAUGAGCAGAUUUCGUUAGUUGAUCAACAAUAACCCAGAUAGUAUCUUUCUUUUUCAGAGUUAGAAGCAACCUCGACACAAAAUCCGUUGUAACUCUAUCCCAUUUCCACCUAGGAAUUGUCACAGGCUGCAGUAAACCUGAUGGUAAUUGUUGUUCAGCUUUGACUUGCUGACAAAUCAAACGUUUAGAAAGAAACUCUGAGAUAUCUUGUUUUAUGCCUUGCCACCAAUAAAAAUAUUUCAAAUUGUUGUACAUUUUGGUAUUCCCCGGAUAAACCGAUAAGUGACUAUUGUGCGCUUCAUGUAAAAUCUUCCGAAUGAGUUCUGAAUUUUUCGGUAUGCAAAUUCUAUUUUGGAACCUUAAACAAUCAUCGGUUCUAAUCUAAAACUUUGAAUUAGGGAUAGUUUCACAUUGAAUUCGUUUAACUUGCAAUUCACGGUUAUCUUUCUGAGCUUCACAGAUUUGUUGAAGAAAUAUUGGUUUAGCUUUUAAUUCAGCUAAAAUAGACCCAUCAUCACAAAUCAUCAACUGGGUAUUCAUUGCUCUUAAUGCAAAAAAAGAUUUUCAGCUCAGGGCAUUAGUAACAACAUUGGCUUUUCCCGGGUGAUAAUCGAUCACAAAUUCAUAAUCUUUCAAUAACUCGAUGCAUCUUCUUUGUCGUAGAUUCAAAUCUUUCUGUGAUAUCAGAUAUUUUAAUCUUUUUUGAUUCGUAUAAGUGUGACAUUUUUCACCGUAUAAACAGUUUCGCCAAAUUUUCAACGCAAACACAAUUGCUGCCAACUCUAAGUCAUACGUUAGAUAGUUCUUUUCAUGCGGUUUCAAUUGUCGGGAAGCAUAAGCUAUAAAUUUUCCUUCUUGCAUUAAAACACAUCCCAGACCAUUUAAUGACGCAUCAUUAUAAAUUUAAAACUCUUUCCCUGAUUCAAAUUGAACCAGAACUGGUGCUUCAGUUAAUAGUACUUUCAACUGUUCAAAACUUUGGUGACAUUUUUCUGACCAUUCGAAUUUCACAUCUUUCUGAAGCGGUCAUGUCAUCGGUGUCCCAAUCAUCGAAAAUCUUUUCACGAAUCUUCGGUAAUAGCCCGCUAAACCCAGAAAACUAUGGGCUUUAGACACAUUUUCUAGAGAUCUCCAAUCAACAAUAGAAGAAAUCUUACUAGGGUCAACUCUAAUACCUUCAGCUAAAACAAUAUGCCCCAGAAAUCCAACCUCUCGGAGCCAAAAAUCACAUUUGCUAAACUUUGCAAAUGAUUGAUUAUCGCGUAGAGUUUGUAACACAACUCUCAAGUGCUCGGUUUGUUCAGAUUCAUCUCACGAAUAGAUCAAAAUGUCGUCAAUGAAUACAAUAAAAAAUCUAUCUAAAUACGAUCUGAAUAUCCGGUUCAUCAAGUCCAUGAAAACUGCAGGAGCAUUAAUUAAUUUGAAAGCCAUAAUAAGGAAUUCAUAAUGUCCGUACUUCAUUCUAAAAGCGAUUUUCGACACAUCCGACUCUUUAACUCUUAACUAAUAAUAAGUCGAUCUCAAAUCAAUCUUUGAAAAUACAGUAGCCCCUUUCAACUGAUCAAAUAAAUCAUCAAUCCGAGGUAGAGGGUAUUUGUUCUUUAUAGUCACUUAUUCAGCUGUCUGUAAUCGAUACACAUUCUCAUUUGCCGUAUUUCUUCUUCACGAAAAAUACUGGUGCACCCUAGGGCAAAUAACUCAGCUGUGCAAAACCUCUGUCUGUUAAUUCUUGCAACUGAGCUUACAAUUCUUUUAAUUCUGUUGGAGCCAUUCUGUAUGGAUCUAUCGAUAUCAGUCUUGUUCCUAGUGCUAAUUCAAUACCAAAUUCAACCUCACUGAUCAGUGGCAAACCCGAUAAUUCUUCUGGAACUACAUUUGAAAACUCACAAACAACAGGUAUGGAUUCAAUAUUUGAUUCAGACACCUUAGUAUCCAAGUUACUCGAAUCAUCAGACUCAAUCCGACGAAUUUCACCGUUCUGACAUUUCAAUUCGAUAAUCUUUCAUCUACAAUUCACAACUGCAUCAUGCAUAGUCAGCCAGUCCAUACCCAAAAACACGUCAAACUCAUCGAAUGGUAGAAGCAUCAAGCUAGCCAGAAAAUAGUAAGCCCGAGUCAUCAAAAGACAAUUCUUACAAAUUUUAUCAACUAAAACAGACUUGCCUAAGGGGUUCGAUACUUUAAUUACAAACUUUGUAGACUCGGCAUGUAAACUCUUUUUAAAUACUAAAUUCAUACAGAUAUAUGAAUGGGUUGAUCCAGGAUCUAUUAACGCAACUAUAUCAGUAUUGAAAAGAGAAAAAGUACUGGUAAUAAUGUCUGGUGAUGAUGCCUCAUCUAGUGAACGGAUAGCAUAAGCUUGGGCAGAAGCUUCUGCCUCAGAUCUCACUGUAGAAUCUCUCGUAACACCUCGGUUACCACUCGUAUUUCCAGUGUUUCGGGGUAGUCUCCCUUUAGUAGUCGUAUUACUUACUUUCACUGGUUGAUCUCUUUUAGCUAUAGUCUUUUCUGGACAGUCCCAGUGAUAAUGAUCAAGAGAUCCACAACUAAAACAAGCUCCGCUCAUUAUUCUACAUUUACUGUAAUGUCGCUUCUUGCAGUGCUUAAAUUUAGGUCUAACAUUUCUAACACUACCCACACUGGCAACAGCUUCCAUCUAAGGUUUAAAGCUAAAAUGUCUCGCAUCUCUAUCUUUGAUCGAAAUCCCUACAGAAGUAGUAGAAUGAGGAUGAUAUUCUCUAGAUUUCUUUGAUGCUGACUGAUGUGAUUUACCCGCAAAUCUCUUUCUAAAUUCUUUAGCCUCAGAAUAGGCUUUUCUUUUCUCUUUGCUAAGCUCUUCGCCUUUGCAAGCUCUGUCAACUAGAACAACAAACUCUUUCAAUUCAAGAAUUUCUACUAACAGUCUAAUUUCUUCAUUUAAUCCAUCUUCGAACCUUUUACACAUUAUAGCCUCGAAAGAAACACAUUCACGAGCAUAUUUUUUGAGUCGUACAAACUCUCUUUCAUAUUCUGUUACCAACAUACGGCAUUGUAUCAGUUCAAGAAAUUGCUUUCAUUUCUAAUUAAUGAACCGUUGGCUGAUGUAUUUAUUUCUGAUAAAAAAUCACUUUACAAUACUAGUAAAUCUAUCAAUAAACCUUCAUAAUCUAUCAUCAAUAUCAAUUUACUCAAACAUUCAAAAAUGGCAACAUGUUAAAUCUUUAACAGUUUCGAAAUCAAAGGUACGUGAUAGCUAGAUUAAGCUGCAAUCAACUCAAAAACAUAGAAAUCAUUAAAAAUUAAGCAAAAACCGUACCUUAAUCAAGGAUUAAAGUGGCCGAACCUUAAAAUAACAAAAAUGGCUAUUCUUUCUUCUUAGUUUCAGUUAAGGAAGAUGACAAUGAACAAAAAUAACUUUUGGUUUUAUUAAAUUAACCUUUAUUUACCAAUUUACUUGCCAUGCUAUCAUCAUCCACUAACCCAUAAAUGGAUAUUUACCUCUUAAGGACCUUUAAUUUAAUGUUCUAUAGCUAUUUGACACUUUUAGCUACUAGAACACAAGUUUUACACUUUACGCGAUUUAGUCAUUUUUACCGAAUUAAGCAUUCAAAUAGUAAAAUUUCUUUACAAAACUUUUACACAAUAAUCCUAUCACGCUAUAAAUUUUAAUAAAUUAAUAAAAUAUAUAUUUUUAAUUUGGAUUUAUGGUCCCAAAACCACUGUUUCGAUUUGACUAAAAACUGGCUGUUACUGUAACAACCAGUUUUUAGUCAAAUCGAAACAGUGAUUUUGAGAUAAAAAAUAUGAGGUUAAAAUAUUUAUUUUAUUAUUAUUUUAUUGUUUACAACAUGAUUUAAUAAUUGUGUGAAAAUUUUGUUAAGAAAUUUUAUCGUUUGGUUGGUUAAUUUGAUAAAAAGGACUAAAUCGCGUAAAGUGUAAAACUUGAGUUCUAAUAGCUAAAGGUGUCUAAUAGCUAUAGAACCUUAAAUUAAAUGUAAUUAAAUGGUAACUAACCUAUUUUAGGGUUAGCGGAUGAUAUUGGAGUGGUAUUUGGUGUAGUUAUUAAAUGUUAUUAAGGUUAUAAUAAUAAUUUGGUAAUUAAUGAUAAUUAAAACUAGUAAACUAACAUCCAUCUUCUUCAUUUUACCAACCAUAGCUGAUUCUAACCUAAAGAAACCAUGUAUAAGUUGGGCCAAGCUCGUAUAACUAAUUAAGGUAUGGUUUUUGUCCCAUGUUUGAUGAUUUCUAUGUUUUUAUGAUCGUUACAGCUAAGUCUUACUAACCCAAGGACAAUUUUGCAAAACUUUUAAAGAUUUUUGAUCGUAUUAUUUUGUGAUAGGUUUUAAAUAUUUAUAAUCGAUCGUUCUUGAAACUAACUAUUAUCACGAUGUAGGCAAGUGUACCUAUAGAACAGUAGUAUAUUUUUAGCAAGACCGGAUUGUCGAACCUUAAGAAACUAAAAGUACUAGUAAUGACUGUCUUUUUAUUAUCUAGCCUAAGAAUAAAGAGGUUUUGUUUUGACUAACUAAUUAUCUAAACUAAGAAUUCACAGAGAAUGGAAUUGGGGGAUUACUUUUGGAAAACGAUUGAAUUAAGACAAUACCUAAGGAAAAAUCCACCUAGACUGUACUUGUUUUUUUGGCUCCGAAUCGGACGAUUUAUUCAUUUAACUUGUUUUGUGGAGAUCCCUAAGUUAUGUUAUUAUCCCUAUUCAAGAAUAAUAACGUCUAAUCCCUAGAUUGAAUAAUUGAGACUUUUCUCUAAUUAACACCCUAGGGUUGCAUUAACUCGAUCUAUGGAUCCUCUUAUUAGGUUUCACCCUAAUCCGGCAAAAUCUUGUCACCCUAUGUCUAGGCGCGUAAAUAACUCCGCUUAAUUAUGACAAAUGUACUCUUAGACAGGGUCUAUUCCUCCUCUGAAUAAGAGCUUAUCUUGAAUUAGUAUCCUGGGAUAUCAAAAUAAGAAUUAAGAACACAUAAUUAAGAACAAGUCAAAUAUUUAUCAUAGAAUUCAGAAAAUAAUAACAAGAUUCGUCUUAGGUUUCAUUCCUCUUAGGUAUUUAGGGGUUUUAGUUAAUAACUAAAUAAGAAAACAUCUCAGAAUAAUAAUACAAAACAUAAAGAAAACCCAAAACUCCUGAAGGGGAAAUUGAGGAGAGAUCUUCAGUCUUGAUGAUGAAUCUGGCUUCUAAGAUGGAUCACUCGGCUUCCUUAGAGUAAUUUUUUACUUCUUCCCUGUGUGUCACUCUUUCUUCCUCCUCUAGGGUGUAUUUAUAGGAUUUGGAAUGCCUAAGAGCCCUCAAAAUUAGCCUUUUCCGAAUUGGACUCAACUUGGGCUUGGCAAGGACACGCCCGUGUGACACGCCAAUGUGAAUCGUGCUUCAAAUCUGCCAAAUUGACACGGCCGUGUGGUCUGCUCGUAUGAGGAAGUCCAGGCCGUGUUGAUUUUGUACUUUGGCUCAUUUUCUUCGUUUUUGGCCCGUUUCUCGUUCCUUUCGCUCUUCUAUGCUCUCCUAAGUAUAAAACAUGGAAUUAAAGCAUUAGGAGCAUCGAAUUCACCAAUUCUAAGGGAAAAUCAUCCAUAAAAUGCGUUAAGCAUGGGGUAAAAAUAUGUAUAUAUUACGGUUUAUCAAAUACCCCUACACUUAAGCAUUUGCUUGUCCUCAAGCAAAAUCCUCAACUCAUAAUCAAAAUAAAUUCUUCUCAAUUUAUAAUUUCUAUCAAUAAUAUCUCAAAAUAAUCCAUAGAUACUCAUACAUUGAGAAUUCAACUAAAAGAACAUCAUAGUUCCAGUCAUUCCAAGUUGAGCAUUUUAUUCCAAAAACAUAGGUGUCUCCCCUCGUCUAGGUAAUUACCUUGUAUUCAAAAUGUCACAAAGUUUUACAUCCUCACUAAAGAUUCACUCAAAUCACUCGAGGUGUUUAAGGACAAUAAAUUAAGCACUCAAUAGUUAAUAAUGGAAAGUCAUUACCAUAGGCUUGCAUGAAAAUCAAAUCUCCACCAUUAUAAUUUGAGAUGAUACAUCAAUCGAAAGGUCUUUAGAGGGUUGUAAUGAGGCUUGGUUAGAGGGUGUGGUUAGAAGCUAAAAGAAAAUGUUAGAAUCAAGAUUGACUUGAAAAAUUUGCCUAACUAGAAAAAUAGCUAGUCAUCAAUUGCGUACAACAGAGCUUUUUCUCCGAAUAUGGAAUUUAACUUCUUUAGCUCAGAAUUACUACUAUUAAGAUUUAUACACAUUUUUUUUUAAGAACAAGUUAAAUAACAUAGACUAACUAUUAAGAACAAGACAUAGCUAAGCAAUUUAUUCAACUCAAAUCUCGACAAAAAUAGGGAUAAAAAAUAAUUGAGAGGAUUUCAACAAAAAAUGGGUUAAGGGUUAAUGUUAAGAGUAAUACAAUAAAUGGCUUGUUAAGCUCAAGGGGGUUUACUAGGGAUUAAUCGUGGAGGUAGGCCUUUCAUGGCAUGAGUGGGUUAAUCCUAAGUGCCUUAAUCAUUUUGACAUAUCAAAUCAAAUGGUGUGGUCUUGACAUGCAUAAUCAAGCAAGUUCUAGAAUAACAGUUCAAUACUGACGCACUCAAGGCAAUAAUAAAAGUGAGCAUGAAAGAAUUAAUAGAUGCUCAACAGGCUCAAAAAUCUCACAAUAAUUAUGGCUUUUUGAUGUUUAAAACUUGUGAAUUCCAACUCAAAGUAAUAACUGAACUUUGGGGAAACAACCUAAAAUUUUAAAUUCUUAAAAAUCAACUUAUCAUGCUUGAUUCUUUAAUGUCUUAAAGUUGAAAAAAUCAAUGCAUAAAUUCCUAUGUUUUAAUUCAAGAUAUAUCAAUAAAAAUCAGAGAUCAAUCAAAAUUUAUCCUAAAUAUGAUAUGAGAGCUUUUCAAGAGAACAAGACAGUCAUUCAGGAAUUUCUCUGAUAGUAAAAUGAAGUAAAUACCCCCUACACUUAAUAUGUACAUUGCCCUCAAUGUGCAAAAAUAGAUAUAAGAAUAUAGAAAGAAGAUAGGGAGAGAAGUGAAACUUCCUGUAUGAUGAAUUCCUCGAACUAGAGUUUUGGAGAGUAAUCGGUGCGAGAGUGGAGAAGGAUACUCUGGCGGUGAUAGAGGUUCAUUAGUCCAUAAGUCCUGUGCCAAAAGAAUAUUAUAUCUAGUGGUAGCUAUGUUCGUGGUCGAUCAAGACAUGGCAGUCAUGGAGAGCCUUUCCCGGUGGAUUUUUUAGUUCCUAUGCGAUGAUGAGCUUAGGGGCUGUAUAUAAUUGUGACAAAAUCAGGAACUUUUUAGGGGAUAUUGGUAAGAAUAAUUACUCUUAAUGAAAUAACCGAAAUUGAUAAUAAAAUAAAAUUCUAAAAUCUUAAUAAAAAUAAAAAGUAGUUUUAAUAAAAGUUAAAAGUAUAAAAUAAUAAAUAAAUAUUUUUAAACAUCUUCAUCGCUGGAUGGUUCGCGAGGUGGGACUGGUGAUGAGAUGUGGAGGUGCUAACAAAUCUGCUGUAGAGUAACAUCAAUGUUGUCAAAUCAUUGAAAACAUUGCUGCUUGAAUCGAGUGAGGCGCUCAGAGAUGUCAGCAUAUGAGGCCGCUGCAUGAACUGGACGAGAGGGUGGUGGUGGCUAAGUCGGUGGGUCCUCGUGCUGUGGAGGGACAUCAUCAGGAAUGUCAUCGUAGGCCUCCUCCUUGGUAGAUUGGGCAAGAAAAUAUUGAGAAGGGUAGGUUCCUCGGCGCUUUUCGAUCAUCCUCAUGCUAAGCAUGCUCGAGAUGCCUUGUGGAGACAUCUGGCCAAUGAGGGUUAAGGAUGAUUCUUGGAGGGCGAUACUGAGGAGCCCAAAGUGUCGAGCCAAUCGAGUAACAUAAGGGCCAAUGGAGAUGACCCCCUUCCGAUGCCGCUCUGUCUGGUGCUGAAUCGCGAAGGCGAUGAAAUAGGCAAGGUCGAUGACGUGCCCGUGCGACAUACACCAUAAAAAGUAGGCGUCGUGAGUGUUGACGACACCGGUGCUCUCUCCCCUUCCUAUAAUCGUGUGAGCCAAAAUGGCGUGUAGGUACCUCAGAGAUGGAGGGAGAGCCGAUGCCUUGGAGCGGCUAGGAUUGUAGGUGGCCCCACCUGGUACUAGUGCGUCCCAGCACCGUGAAGGAGAACGAUGGAUGUGGCGGUUGAGAGCAUGUAAGUCAUUCUCCUCCUUAAAUUCCUCCGUAUAUAAACCCAGCACCGUACCGAAUUCUAGGACGCUGAGCUGGCAGACUAAUCCGCCUAGGCAAAAUUGGACCAUGCCGGGAUCAUCGUAGUUUGUCAUCACGGUCUGAAGAUGAAAUGUGGAGCAUAAUUCCAUCGUAAGCUCGAGAUACAUCGGCUCGAUGGUCCCAAAGAAAAGCUCCCAAGGGUCGGUGGUUAGGAGGGCCCGAAUCGCUUCAGCCAACUGAACUUGUUCUACCGCAGCCCAGUCGAUGCAGCAGCCUGUAAUUAAAGGUUGGGCUCGGAGUAUUUGGAAUAGUUCUUCUUGGGUAUCGACGGGGAACCUCAGGAAAGGGUGACGAACUUCCGCGUUAGGACCCGAGGAAGAUGACACUCCUUUCCUUUUCUUUGAAGUAGGGACAGCGGCCUUUUUUACCACGUGAAGAUGACAUGGUACCUGCAAAUAGAAUCAUCAAGUCGUCUUGAUGAGUGGUCAAAGUAAAACGAAGACAAAUUUUAAUUAGAAAUCAUAAUGUCAGCCACAACUACUAAAACUAACUAAAACAAUAAGUUCAAUGGCAUACUUUUGUGGCACUACAAUAGUGAUAUGAGUAAAAAUCGCUAGGAAUUUAAUGGAAAUAUAAAGAGCAUAAAUUUAGCACAUGGCAUGAGUUGUAAUGGUAAAUAACAAGAAGCAAUUGAAAACUAUUAAUAUUGAUUUAGAAUAAGUGAAUAAGGCAUGAGAGUUUCAUAAAAAUAUGUCAUGUGGAAUGAAUGAUAACUAAUCUAAAAGAAAUGAAAUUUGAAUGAUAUCAUCGUGUGAGAUAGAUGAAGAUUAUAGCAUUAAAAAUAGUGGGGAGGGCGUGUGGACUUGCAGCGGCUAGGGUUAGGGUUUAUGAGUGAAGAAGACAAUGAAUAGUGCAGCCUAUUUAUAGAUUUUGGGGCACACGGUCAGGUAACACGCCCGUGUUCCCCAAUUUCAGCCCGUGUGAUUCUUGAAUUUUAAGUUUGGGCACGUCUGACAUUUAGUACACGCCUAUGUUCCUUGGGUGUGUGGGUGCACACGGUCGUGUCGCACGGCUGUGUCUGACAUUGUUUGCUUCUCCCAUGCCCGUAUAGGUAGAUCCACGCCCGUGUCAACCUAAUAGGUUCGACCACGGGUGCUAGACAUAGGCAUGUCGCACACCCGUGCUAUUUUAACAGGUUCACCCACGGUUCUUCCACACGAAUGUGUCGCACGCCCGUGUUGUUUUGGCAGGCUCGACCACAGCCAUGUCGCACGGCCGUGGCAUUUUAUCGUAGCCUGUGUUUGGGAGAAUUGUUGUCCUAUUUUCACACAGCCCUAAGCCCUAAGCACGCCCAUGUGCUUGGCCGUGUCUCUAUGGAAAACCUGUAUUCAAAAGCUUUGUUAGUAAGUUAGGUGUUGAAGACUAAAUUUUAAAGAAGUUAAUAUAGUUAGUGCUCGGGUUGCCUCCCGAGAAGCGCUUAUUUAUAGUCUAAGCUCGACUUACCUCCCCAUUGCAUGGUCAUGGUGGUUCGAGGAGUUUAUACUCCUCACUCCUGCUAUCAUUCUCAUCAAAAUAAGGUUUCAGACAGGUGUUGUUUACCUUAAAAAUGCCAAACUUGGGAUGACUUACCUCGACUGUACCGAAUGGGAAAAUGCCAAGUACCGUAAGAGGGAUUUCUUCAUUCGGUGUGGUAGUGACAAUGUGAGGAUCUGCGACAUCUAAUAAGACUUUAUCUCCAACCUUAAGUUGAUGUGAGAAUGUGUUGAACUUGUUCUGGCGUAGUUCUGGUUUAUCAUGCGUUCUUGGUUUAUGCGUCCGUCAUUCAUCUAGCUCCUCGAUUUGUAGCCUUCAUUCUUCAUGAAUAGGUCCACUACUAUUGCUUGAGAAUGGCUGAUGUACUUUCUUCAGACUCAUUUCCUGCAAAGUAGGUUGUACCAUAUUGUCAGUUUUAGUAUAAUGGGUUAAACGAUCACCUUUAAUUUUUGAUGUGUUGCCAGAAUUACGAGCUUGAAGGGUGAUUGUUUCGUCUCCCACAUGGAGUGUGAGUUCACCUAUGCCAACAUCAAUAAUCGUUUUAGCAGUUGCUAAAAAGGGCCUUCCUAGAAUUAAAGGAGUGUUGCUAUCCUCUUCUAUGUCUAGAUCAAUGAAGUAUAUGGGAAAUAUAAAUUUAUCGAUUUUAACUAGCACAUCUUCAAUAAUAUCCCUAGGAAAUCUUAUAGUUUUAUCUGCUAAUUGAAUGCUCAUCCUAGUUUGUUUGGGUUUCCCAAGACCUAAUUGUUUGAACAUUUUGUAGGGCAUGACGUUAAUACUAGCCCCUAAAUCAGCUAAUGCAUUAUUAACAUCUAAACUACUAAUUAAUCAAGGAAUUGUAAAACUCCCUGGAUCUUUUAAUUUGUUCGGUAGCUUAUUUUGCAGAAUAGCUGAGCAAACUGCAUUUAGCUCCACAUGCGACGCCUCAUCCAACUUCCGCUUAUUUGCUAAAAGAUCUUUUAAAAAUUUCAUUGCGUUUGGCAUCUGUGAUAGAGCUUCAAUAAAUGGUAAGUUAAUGUGUAAAUUUUUUAAGAGUUUAAGGAAUUUACCAAAUUGUUCAUCUGAGCGGUCUUUCCUUGUCGCAUUGGGGGUAUGGCACACAAGGUUUAUAUUCGACAUUCGCUGAUUUGUUUUUAUUAUGACCUACCUCACCUUGGCCGCUGCUUACCAUAGUUUCUUGCCUUGGUUCAGGCUCAGGCUCAACGAAUCCUUCUUUAUCUUGAACAUUAAUCGCGUUGAGUUGUUCCCUUGGGUUGGGUUUAGUAUUACUUGGCAAGCUACCUUGUGGUUGUUUGGAGAUUAGUUUGGAAAGCUAGCCUAUCUGAGUUUUGAGCCCUUGGAUCAACGCUUGUUGAUUUUUAAGUGCUGUCUCGGUGUUCUGGAAAUGAGUUUCUGACAUCGAUAUAAACAUUGAGAGCAUCUCUUCAAGGUUUGGCUUCUUUUCCUGUUGGUGGGGUGGUUAUUGGUAGCCUGGAGGUGGUCUCUGAUUUCCUUGGCCUCCCCAUAAGAAAUUUGGGUGGUUCCUCCAACCUGCAUUGUAAGUGUUACUAUAUGGAUUGUUUUGAGAUCAAGAAUUAUUACCCAUGUAAUUUAAUUGCUCGUUAUCCAUGUUGUGGCCAUAAGGUUGGUAUUCCAAUGUGCUUGAUCCACCUCCAUUUGCUUCGUAUUGCAUUACUGGGUGAACCUGUGAAGAACUAAGAAAAGCAUUAAUUUUCUUAUUCAAGAGUUCUACCUGAUUAGAGACCAUGGUGAUCGAAUCGACAUUAUAAACACCAGCUCUUUUUGUUGGUUUUGUCUUCAUGACUUGCCACUGAUAGUUAUUCAGUGACAUCUCCUCUAUAAACUCAUAAGCAUCUUCAGGUGUUUUAUUAUUGAUGGUUCCGCUAGUAGCUGCGUCAACCAUUUGCCGAGACGAAGGAUUCAGGCCAUUAUGGAACGUUUGAGCCUGAAGCCAAAGCGGUAACCCAUGGUGAGGGCAUCAUCUCAGUAAGUCCUUGUAUCUCUCCCGUGCAUUGUAAAGAGUUUCUAAGUCCAUCUACACAAACGAAGAGAUAUCAUUACGUAAUUUGACCGUUUUAGCAGGCGGGAAAUAUUUUAAUAGAAAUUUCUUGAUCAUUUGUUCCUAAGUAGUGAUUGACCCUCGUGCUAAUGAGUUCAACCACUGUUUAGCUUUGUUCCUCAAUGAAAAAGGGAAUAACCAAAAAUGAGUGGCAUCAUCAGAAACACCAUUAAUUUUAAAUGUAUUGCAUAGUUCCAAAAAGUUUGCUAAGUGAGCAUUGGGAUCCUCAUCCUGCAAACCAUCAAACUGAACAAAUUGCUGUAUCAUUUGAAUAGUGUUAGGUUUUAGUUCAACAGUAUUUGCAGCUACAGCAGGUCUAACUAUGCUCAUUCAAUUCCCAUUAAAGAAGGUUUAGCAUAAUCAUACAUAGUGCGUGGAGCAGGAUUUUGAUUAACCGCAAUUACAGGAGGUAGCUGAUUGUCUUGGUUUUCAGCCAUCUCUUCGGUUGGGGGUUGAGUAUCGUCCUCUUACUUGUUCUCUGUGUAUCUUAAGCUUCGCCUUAUUUCUCUUUGGUUUCUGCAAAUUGUGCGAUCGAUUUCUUCGUUAAAAAGUAGUGGUCCUGACGGGUUUCUUCUAGUCAUAAACUAUAAAAACCUGCCAAGAGAAAGAAAAAGUAAAUUAAUAAAUAAUAAAAAUAAAAAAAUAAAAAUUAAAUUGCAAGAAAAAUAAAUGGUUAAAGUAAUAAAAAUUGAGCGUUCCUAAUAUCUUAUUUCCUCGGCAACAGCACCAAAAACUUGAUCGCGUUAUUUUGUGAUAGGUUUUAAAUAUUCAUAAUUAUUCGUUCUUGAAACUAACUAUUAUCAUGAUGUAAGCAAGUGUACCUAUCGAACAGUAGUAUAGCUUUAGCAAGACCGGAUUGUCGAACCCAAAGGAACUAAAAGUACUAGUAAUGACUGUCUUUUUAUUAUCUAGCCUAAGAAUAAAGAGGUUUUGUUUUGACUAACUAAUUAUCUAAACUAAGAAUUCACAGAGAAUGGAAUUGGGGGAUUACUUUUGGAAAACGAUUGAAUUAAGACAAUACCUAAGAGAAAAUCCACCUAGACUGUACUUGUUAUUCUGGCUUCGAAUCAGAUGAUUUAUUCAUUUAACUUAUUCCAUGGAGAUCCCUAAGUUAUGCUAUUAUCCCUAUUCAAGACUAAUAACGUGUAAUCCCUAGAUUGAAUAAUUGAGACUUUUCUCUAAUUAACACCCUAGGGUUGCAUUAACUCGAUCUAUGGAUCCCCUUAUUAGGUUUCACCCUAAUCCGGCAAAAUCUUGUCACCCUGUGUCUAGGCGUACAAACAACAACUCCGCUUAAUUAUGACAAAUGUACUCUUAGACAGGGUCUAUUCCUCCUCUGAAUUAGAGCUUAUCUUGAAUCAGUAUCCUGGGAUAUCAAAACAAGAGUUAAGAACACAUAAUUAAGAACAAGUCAAAUAUUUAUCAUAGAAUUCAGAAAAUAAUAACAAGAUUCAUCUUAGGUUUCAUUCCCCUUGGGUAUUUAGGGGUUUUAGUUGUAACACCCCUCACCCGUAUCCAAUUUUGGGACAGGGUUCAAGGCGUUAACGGACUUAAACAUUCACAACAACACAUAACAUAUUACCAACCAUGCAUGGAAGACAAGCAUAUGCACAUCACCAAUAUCAAACAUAACAUAAAUCGCUAGAUUUAUAAGUCAGAAUCAUUAGCUCACUAAAGACCAAUAUAUUUGGCCAAAUUAUAAUAACACAUGUUAUAAAACUAGGUCCCUAUACAUGCCACUCACUUGAUAAUUCUAGCAUAUGUGUUUAUACUGUCAAGGUGUUAGCUUGAUAGUGUAAUGCUGCCUCCGAUGAUCUCCAACCAUGAGCUAACCUGGCAACACUAAAAGAAAUGGAAAGGAGGGGGUAAGCUUUAAGCUUAGUAAGCUUGCAUGAAAUAAUGAUAAGCAAUUUACUUACAUGCUUUCCAUAGUAAAACUAACUCAAUUGUACAUUUACACAUGUUCUGGUUAAGCUACUUUCUUAAGUCACAUUCACUAAAUCAUUUAUAUCUGGAGUUACCAAACUCCAAAUUAAGAUCCGUAAAUUUUCCUAGAAGCUAGACUCAUAUAUAUUUCCACCAUAAAUUUUUUAGAAUUUUUGGUCCAGUCAAUAAGUACAUUUUCUUAUUCAAAUUCUCCCCUAUUUCGCUAUUUGACAACUUCCACCUUUCUUCACUAAAACUUAUUUAUCUCAUACUACAAGACUUAGAUAAUGUUUUCAUUUAUUUAUAUUAAAAUUAGACUCAUCAAAUAUUCUAAGCAUGUAAAUUAUAACCCAUAAUUAUUUUUCUACAAUUGUUAACAAUUUUUCCAAGUCAGAACAGGGUAGCUCGAAUUCAUUCUGACACUUUCUCACAAAAAUUAGAAUAUGACAUAAUAUACAUCUAUUUUUCUCCCCCUGUUUGUUUUAUAUGAAAAUAGACUCAUUAAGAUUUAAUUCCAUAAUUUAUUUGAAAUUUAAUUCAACUUACACAAUUUUUUGUGAAUUUUGAAAGUCACAUAAUUGCUGCUGUCCAACACUAUUUUACUACUAAAAUUCACUCUUACAUAAUUUCACUUAAUCCAUUUUGUCUUAUCGAAAUUCACUCAAAUAUCAAGUAUAUUGCUCAAAAUUUUCUUAAACAUAUACUUGCACUUAUUCAUCAUAUAAUCAUGUUCACAUGUAUAUUUAUUUAAUCGAUUUUCCUGUUGAACUCUUCGGAAUAAUAACUGAGACUCAGUUGCCUGCACAUAUUUUCACACUUGUAGCCAAAGCUAUCUGGUAUGCAUAGUAGCCUGCACUUAGUACUACACAUGUGAUCAAUUAUUUGGUACACGUAUUAGCUUGCACUUAGUACUACACAUGUGAUCGAAGUUAUCGGGUACUCAUAGUAGCCUGCACUUAGUACUACACAUGCGACCAAUAAUCCGGUACACGUAGUAGCCUGCACUUAGUACUACACAUGUGAUCGAAGUUAUCGGGUACGCAUAGUAGCCUACACUUAGUACUACACAUGCGACUAAUAAUCUGGUACACGUAGUAGCCUGCACUUAGUACUACACACGUGACCUCACAAUAGGUCAUUUGUAUCGUUUCUAUUCCGAAGGCUCAGCCGGGAAAUUCCUCACUUUCCAACAUGUUACAAUUUAUUCAAUUUGCAAUUUACAACAAAUAAUCAUUCUAUAGGCAGCCACAUUUCAUAUGAUAACAAAAUAUAAUAAAAUAAAAAGAAUCGAUAAAUUAUUUACGUACAAACUUACCUCGGAUCCAGAAAUGGCAAUUUACCAUUCUAGUCCAUAACCUUGUAUUUUCCCGAUUUAAGCCCAAAUCUCGAUUUCCUUGAUUAUUAUACUUGGAAGCUUGACCAAACCCUAACCAUGGCUUCUCUUGGUACAUUCUACUGUAUCAAGAAGAAAAGGACACAUUUGGAGUUUAAAAUUUGUCUUUUAAUUUAUUUUACCCCUAACUGACCAAAAUGCCCUUUUUACUAUUCUUUCAAAUUUUACCCAAUCAAGGCCAUUUUUGUCCAACACGUUAUACAAUGGUUUAAUUAUCAUUUAAAGACCUCCAAUUUAAAAUUUCAUAACAAUUUGAUACCUCUAACAUGUAGAACUCAACUUUUGAACUUUUUACAAUUUAGUCCUUUUUGCUAAAUUGAGUGCCCAAACGUCGAAAUUUUCAAACGAAAUUUUCACGAAAUCAUUUCGUGAAAUCGUAUACCAUAAAAAUAUAAUAAAAUAAAAUUUUCCUCAUCGGACUUGUGGUCCUGAAACUACUGUUCCGACUAAGCCCAAGAUCAGGAUGUUACAUUAGUUCAUAACUAAAUAAGAAAACAUCUCAGAAUAAUAAAGAAUAAAAAACAUAAAGAAAACCAAAAACUCAUGAAGGGGAAAUUGAGGAGAGAUCUUCAGUCUUGAUGAUGAAUCUAACUUCUGAGAUAGAUCAAUCGGCUUCCUUGGAGUAAUUUCUUACUCCUUCCUUGUGUGUCCCCCUUUCUUCCUCCUCUAGGGUGUAUUUAUAGGCUUUGGAAUGCCUAAGAGCCCUCAAAAUUAGCCUUUUCUAAAUUGGACUCAACUUGGGUUUGGCAGGGACACCCCGUGUGACAUGCCCGUGUGAAUCGUGCUUCGAAUCUGCCAAAUUGACACGGCCAUGUGGUCUACCCGUGUGAGGAAGUCCAGGCUGUGUUGAUUUCAUACUUUGGCCCAUUUUCUCUGUUUUUGGACCGUUUCUCGUUCCUUUCGCUCUCCUAUUCUCUCCUAAGUAUAAAACAUGAAAUUAAAGCAUUAGGAGCAUCGAAUUCACCAAUUCUAAAGGAAAAUCAUCCAUAAAAUGCGUUAAGCAUGGGGUAAAAAUAUGUAUAUAUUAUGGUUUAUCAAUUUUGAAUGAUGCCAUUGAUGAAUACAUGUGUAUUUUGUUAGAAUUGGUAGAUUAUGAAUGCUUGUUGAUAGAUAUACAAGUUUUGUUAAGUGAUUUUUAGUGAAAAUUCAAAUUACAGGCUAAAUUGAGAAAUGUUAAAAAUGUGUUGUUGAAAUGUGAAAUAAAUGGAAAUUAUGGGCUACUAGGGGUAUUAUGGUAAUUUGGCUAGCUUGGGUUUAUUGUGAAUUUGCAUGAAUUUGUGAUUUUGUGUAAUAAAGACUAAAUUGUAAAAAUGCAAAAGUUUAGGGGUAAAUAGUAAAAUAGCCCUAAUAUGUAUUUUGGAUUAAAUUGAAUAAAUAGAAGAAUAAAUAAUUUGAUUUUGAUUACUUAUAGAUUAAGUUGAUCCAUUCCGUUAUUUCCGUACACGAGGUAAGUUCAUAUAAUUGAAUUUGAAUGUGUAAUUAUUCAAUUGAUGGAUGGUAUUGAGACUUUAUUUAUUCUAUGGCUAAAUGUGAUUAAUUUGAUUACGGUUUAAGUUGACGAGAUACUGAAUAAAACCAUAGCUGGGCUAUGGCAAUUGGAUAACAAGACCAUAACUGGGUUAUGGCAUGUGAAUGUAAGACCACGGUAGGGCCUUGGCAAUGUAUGUAUAAGACCAUAGUUGGACUAUGGCAUCAAAAAAUUUACUUACUUAUAUCAUAAGCAUUUAUAUACUUGAAGUGAUUCGAUGAAUUGGUGGGAAUAGAUAUGUAUCGAUACAUGUAUGUACAGAAAACCAUUCGAAUGAUGAAUUAAAAGAAGAAGAGAACAUUUGAGUUAUUUUGUAGUUAAAUUUUAUGUUAUCUCAUUGAUUGAGGUUUUAAUUACAAAUUAUGUAUCUAAUUGGAAAUGCAAAUGAAUGGUGUUGAUUAUUGAUAAACCUAAAAUUAUACAUAUUUUUACCCCAUGUUUAAUGCAUUUUAUGGAUGAUUUCUCAUUAGAAUUGGUGAAUUCGAUGCUCUUAAUGCUUUAAUUUCAUCUUUUAUACUUAGGAGAGCAUAGGAGAGUGAAAGGAACGAGAAACGAGCCAAAAACAGAGAAAAUGGGCCAAAGUACGAAAUCAACACGGCCUGGACCUCUUCACAUGGGUAGACCACACGGCCGUGUCAAUUUGUCAGGCUCGAAUGCAGCCUGAAGUAAUCGAACACUGGCGUGUGCCAUGGGCAUGUGCCACGAGCGUGUCCCUGCCGAGCCCAAGUUGAGUCCAAUUCGGAAAAGGCUAAUUUUGAGGGCUUCUAGGCAUUCCAAAAACUAUAAAUACACCAUAGAAGUGGAGAAAAGGGGACACACAGAAUAGGGAGUAAGGAAUUACUCCAAGGAAGCCAAUUGAUUCAUCUCAGAAGCCAGAUUCAUCAUCAAGAUUGAAGAUCUCUCCUCAAUUCCCCUUCAGGAGUUUUGGGUUUUCUUU
rnacentral:lncRNA from 1 species